AUGAAAUCUUGUAAAAGCUUCGAAGCGAGGUUUGUAGAUAGGUUGUCCAAUCUACCGUGUCAUCACUGGUUUUUCAUAGAGAAUUAGGUUUGCUACUUCUUAUGAUGUAGAUGUGCAAUCCGUUUUGUUAGCGAAGUAAAAUUAUAUGUGCAUUUUAUUCUUCUGACAAGCCAGAAAGUAUUUCCAGAUAUGCAUUUGUUCCUGCAUUCAGAAUUUCAGAUGAACUAAUCUUUGCACAUUAGCUCAUUCUUUGCUUGUUCAAAUCCUUGGGAUGCCGAAGUCUUCUUCCUCUUGCAUCAAUUGGCGGGACGUCGUGAACAGAACUCGUUGCAAUCUCUGGGCUUUCAUCUCGCCAGAGCAAACUUGUUUAAAUCUAGGAGCUUAUAGAAGCAGCGAUCAAGAAGUUGUCAUGUAGACCUGAAAUGCCAGCGGCCGCACCCUAGAGAAGAAAACGUUGAAGAGGGCCUAUAGAAUGGUUGAGGGCCAGCCAAAGGAGCAAAAUUUUACUUAGUGCCUGUCUGGUAGUCCUCUAACUCCCAACUCCUUUAACUCCCGGUUUGGAGCCGGUCCGAACAGGGUAAAUCCUCGAGUUUAGAACAAGAAGUUGGCUAGCAAUUCGCAGCUUCCAGUUUCUUGGUAACCAUUGGGCCAGAGGAAUAGGCGUUUGCACGUGGGAGAUUGGAUAGUGAUUAGACAUGAGAGGUAGAUUUUUACUUCCAUUCCUUUUUUGGUAUAAGUUGAGAAUUAAAUUGGAAUAGAGCUCCACGAAUUAAUAGGGUACCCCAUGGAAAGAAAACAAUGAGAAUUAGCCAUCUCAAUUCUCAUCCCCCCUUCUCACUUAAAUUCUCAUUCCCUCAACUCCUGUUCCCCACCUCUAAUUCACACGAACCAAACAUGCUACGAAAGUUGGUCUAAAUUACCCCUUGUUGCCACCUCAAAGUGAGUGAGUGCGCCGUUUCGAACAUGCCCUAAACCCUACUUGUAGUUUAGCAAAUGUAUGUAGCAUGGAAGAGCGAGUGCAUAGUUUCGAACAUGCCCUAAACCCUACUUGUAGUUUAGCAAAUGUAUGUAGCAUGGAAGAUACCGAGGGCAUUAAGAGAUGGGAUUAAGUUUAAAAUCAGACCAUUAAGACCACAUUCACUCAAAGAUGCUUACUGUUUAGCAAGAGAUGUAGAACCUAAUCAUCCACCUGUAGUUUCAGCUGGGAAGAAACAAGGUUUUGCUUAUACCAACUAUUAUCAGAAAAACAGUGGGGGAACUUCAAGCAAAGCAAAUACUGCUUCUGUUUCUAUGCAGCAACAUACAACAAAUCAGAAUACUGAAUUUUCUGUAGGCAAUGUUCAGAAAUUAAGGAAGGUGGGUGAAUGUUGGAGAUGUGGAGAUAAAUGGGUACAUGGCCACAAGUACAAGCUUAUCCCAAAUGUCCAUCUCCUACAACAGGAAACACCAGAGGAAAUACAGCUAGAAUCUGAAGAAAAUCUAUUGCGGGAGCAGGAAGAAAAAUCAGAGGAACAAGAGCAAGUUAUGUUCAUUUCUGCUUUUGCUAUAGGGUAGCAGAUAGCAGUUAAAACCCCUACUGUCCUCAUUCACAUCAAUGGCAAGAGAGCCGUGGCCUUAUUAGAUUCUGGUAGCUCUUGUUCUUUCAUCAAUUAAGAAAUUGCAGUUAAAGCAAAUUGUCAGUUAUUGCAAGUAAAACCCAGAGCUACUGCAGUAGAAGGAGGAAGCAGAUUGCUGUCUACAGCAGUGGUGCCUGAUUGUGAAUUCCAAUUGGCUAAAACCAAAUUAAAGCAUAACUUCAGAACACUGCGUAGCCAUGAUGUGAUUUUAGGAUAUCAUUGGUUUACAUCAAUGAGUCCUAUUGCUUUUGAUAUUCCAAGAAAUACUUUUAGUUUUACAAAAGGGGGCUCUUGAUAACCCACGGGGAUAGGGGAUCGCAACAGUUUUCGAGGGUAGAGUAUUUAACCUCAAUUUAUUGAUUCGACACAAAGGGAGCCAAAGAAUAUUCUUGAGUAUUAGCAACUGAGUUGUCAAUUCAACCACACCUAAAAGAUUUAAUAUCUGCAGCAAAGUAUUUAGUAGCAAAGUAGUAUGGAAGUAACGGUAACAAUGGCAAAAGUAACAGUAGCGAUAUUGUAGGAAUCGUAACAGUGGUAACGGAAAAGUAAUGGAGCAAAGAUCAAUAUGUGAAAAGCUCAUAGACAAUGGAUCAAUGAUGGAUAAUUAUGUCGGAUGGCAUUCAUCAUGCAAUGGUUAUAACAUAGGGUGACACAGAACUAGCUUCAGUUCAUCAAUAUAAUGUAGGUAUGUAUUCCGAAUAUAGUCAUACGUGCUUAUGGAAAAGAACUUGCAUGUCAUCUUUUGUCCUACCCUCCCGUGGCAGCGGGGUCAUAAUGGAAACUAAGGGAUAUUAAGGCCUUUUUUUAAUAGAGUACCGGAGCAAAGCAUUCACUUAGUGAAUACAUGGACUCCUCAAACUACGGUCAUCACCGAGAGUGGUCCCGACUAUUGUCACUUCGGGGUUGCCGGAUCAUAACACGUAGUAGGUGACUAUAACUUGCAAUAUCGGAUCAAGAACACAAGUAUAUUGAUGAAAAUAUAAAGGGUUCAGAUCUGAGUUCAUGGCACUCGUGCCCUAGUGACAAGCAUUAAGCAUAGUAAAGUCAUAGCAACAUCAAUCUUAGAACAUAGUGGAUACUAGGGAUCAAACCCUAACAAAACUAACUCGAUUACAUGGUAAAUCUCAUCCAACCCAUCACGGUCCAGCAAGCCUACGAUGGAAUUACUCACGCACGGUGGUGAGCAUCAUGAAAUUGGUGAUGGAGGAUGGUUAAUGAGACGAUGGCGAUGGAUUCCCCUCUCCGGAGUCCCGAACGGACUCCAGAUCUGCCCUCCCGAGGAAGAACAGGGCUUGGCGGCGGCUCCGUAUCGUAAAACGCGAUGAAUCCUUCUCUCUGAUUUUUUUCUCCCCGAAAGUGAUUAUAUGGAGUUGGAGUUGAGGUCGGUGGAGGUCCAGGGGGCCCACAAGGUCAGGGGGCGCGCCCCCCACCCUUGUGGCUAGGGUGUGGCCCCCCUGAUGUUGAUUCUUUCGCCAAUAUUUUUUAUUAAUUCCAAAAAUAAUCUCCUUUGAUUUUCAGGUCAUUCCGAGAACUUUUAUUUCUGCACAAAAAUAACACCAUGGCAAUUCUGCUGAAAACAUCAUCAGUCCGAGUUAGUUCCAUUCAAGUCAUGCAAGUUAGAGUCCAAAACAAGGGCAAAAGAGUUUGGAAAAGUAGAUACAUUGGAGACGUAUCAACUCCCCAAGCUUAAACCUUUGCUUGUCCUCAAGCAAUUCAGUUGAUAAACUGAAAGUGAUAAAGAAAAAACUUUUACAAACUCUGUUUGAUCUUGUUAUUACAAAUAUGUAAAGCCAGCAUUCAGGUUUUCAGCAAAGAUUAUGAACUAACCAUAUUCACAAUAACUCUUAGGUCUCAUAUUUACUCAUAUCAAUGGCAUAAUCAACUAGCGAGCAAUAAUAAUAAAUCUUAGAUGACAACGCUUUUCUCAAAACAAUCAUGAUAUGAUAUAACAAGAUGGUAUCUCGCUAGCCCUUUCUGAGACCGCAAAACAUAAAUGCAGAGCACCUCUGAAGAUCGAGGACUGACUAGACAUUGUAAUUCAUGGUAAAAGAGAUCCAGUCACAUUCAUACUCAAUAUAAAUCAAUAACAAUGCAUACAAAUGACAGUGGUGCUCUCUAACUGGUGCCUUUUAUAAGAGGAUGAUGACUCAGCAAUAAAAGUAAAUAGAUAGGCCCUUCACAGAGGGAAGCAGGGAUUUGCAGAGGUGCCAGAGCUCGAGUUUUGAAAUAGAGAUUGAAUAAUAUUUUGAGCGGUAUGCUUUUAUUGUCAACAUAACAACCAAGAGAUCUCGGUAUCUUCCAUGCUACAUACAUUAUAGGCGGUUCCUAAACAGAAUGGUAAAGUUUAUACUCCCCCACCACCAACAAGCACAUUCCACUGUUGGUCCGAAACAACGGGUACCGUCCAACUAACAACAAUCCUGGAGGAGUUUUGUUUGCAAUUAUUUUGAUUGAUCUGCUUUAAGCAUGGGACUGGGCAUCCCGGUUACUAGUCAUUUUCUCGUGAAUGAUGAGCAGAGUCCACCCAUCGUGAGAAUAACCCACCUAGCAUGGAAGAUAUUGACAGCUCUAGUUGAAUACAUGAGUUAUUCGAGCAUACAAAACAGAUUAUCAUUUGAAGGUUUAGAGGUUGGCACUUGCAAAUUUACUUGGAACGGCAGGUAGAUACCGCAUAUAGAAAGAUAUGGUGGACUCAUAUGCAACAACUUUGGAGUUUAUGGAAGUGGAUGCACAAGCAAUAUUCCCGCUUAGUACAAGUGAAGGCUAGAAAGAGAUUGGGAAGCGACCAACUAGAGAGCGACAACAGUCAUAAACAUGCAAUGAGAUUAACCAACAUUGAGUGCAAGCAUGAGUAGGAUAUAAAUCACCAUGAACAUAAAUAUCAUGGAGGCUAUGUUGAUUUUGUUUCAACUACAUGCGUGAACAUGUGCCAAGUCAAGCCACUCGAAUCAUUCAAAGGAGGAUACCAUCCUAUCAUACUACAUCACAACCAUUUUAAUUUCCAUGUUGACACGCAAGGUAAACCAUUAUAAUGGCAUGAGUAACUAUAAUCUCUAAUUGUCAUUGCAAACAUGUUUCAUUCAUAAUAGGCUAUCAGGAACGAUGAACUAAUCAUAUUUACAAAAACAAGAUAGGUCGAGUUCAUACCAGCUUUUUCUCAUCUCAAUCGUUUCAUCAUAUAUCGUCAUUAUUGCCUUUCACUUGCACGACCGAAUAGUGUGGAUAAUAAUAGUGCACGUGCAUUGGACUAAGCUGGAAUCUGCAAACAUUUAUUUAAAGGAGAAGACAAGGUAAUAUGGGCUCUUUGUUAGAUCAACAAUAAUACAUGAGAGCCACUCAACAUUUUCAUCAUGGUCUUCUCCUCUCGACCCCCAAAGAAAAAAAAAGAAUUUCGAAGAAACACACUGAAAUAUUUUUGGCGUUUUUGUUUUUCUAAGGAAGAAGAACAAGAACGAGAAAAAUUAUUUACACGGGAAAGCUCCAAACAAGCACGAGAAAUCUUUUUGGGUUUUCUAUUAAUAUUACUGCUACUAAUUUUUUUGAUUUUUCUUAUGGUUUUUCAAACACACAAGAAAGCGGAAAAAUAAAGUAAACUAGCAUGAAUAAUACAAUAAAAAGUAUGAGCACCGACAACUAGAAUGAGUGUGUGGACAUGAAUAUAAUGUUGGUGAGAAAUACGUACUCCCCCAAGCUUAGGCUUUUGGCCUAAGUUGGUCUACGCCCACGGAUGGCCUGAUGGAUAUCCAAAGUUAAGUUGGGGUCGUACUGUGUUGCGGCAGGCACCGCUUGGCGAGCAGCCUCAGCUGUCCUCUCAUACUCCCUUGCCUCCUCUGUAGUAAUAAAGUAUCUUCCAUUUGCCUGAAAGUUGAAGAGAGCAGGAGCAGGAAGAGUAACAAGGACGGCACGCCGUCUAUCAAAGAUUAGUCGGUGCCGGAGGAUUUGCUCGUUCCUCUUAAGAAACGGGUGGCGUACCAUAGCCUCGUAAUCCAGAAAAGCAGGUGGCAACUCAAUAUCAUAUCCUCUAAUAGGCACAUUCAAAUAGUUAGUUAAACGAGUUGCAUAAAUCCCACCAAAUAAGUCUCCAUUCUUAGAAUUAAGAUGUAACCUUCUAGCAAUAAUGGCCCCAAAAUUAUAUCGUUUAUCACCUAACACCGCACACUUUACCAUUAAUACACCUACCGGUAAACAGAGCAAAAUAAUGUAUGGCAGGAAAGUGAAUGCUCCCUACGGUUGCUUGUGUGAUGUUUCUAGUUCUCCUACAGUGAUGCUAGCAAGGAAAUCAUUAUAUUCACAUCUAUGAGGCUCACUAAGACUACCCCAUUGUGGAAUUUUGCAUGCAUCACAAAAAUCUUCUAGGUCCAUGGUAUAGGAUUCAUCAUAAAGAUCAAACAGGACAAUAUGAGUAUUACGCUUGGAUGAAAACUCAAACCUCCGUACGAAGGAAUCCGUGAGAUAAUAAUAUUGUAAGCACUUGUCCGCUAGGAAAUCCUCAAGGCCGACAUUUUGUAUGUACGCAUAGAAUUCAUCCUUGAAAUCUGCACGAUCCAUAAAUUCAUCCAAUGGCCAUUCACACGGCCUCACUCGAGCUUCCCUUGGUAAUUCAGAGUCCAGUUCACAUAUCACGCGUCUCGGUGCUUGCUUCCUUGAAAAACUACCUUGGUACAUUCUCCUAGACAUUUUCCUUUUCUCUGAAAAAUUUCUGAAAUUUUUAGUGACUCACAAUAAAAGUGAAUCAAACUCAACAAAAUUGAUAGCAACUACUCCUACAAGUGUCUAGAAGCUAUAUCAUGCAUCAAAACAACUUUGGACCAUACAAAUUUGAUAUGCAAGCUCAAGAACAUGGUCACCAUAGCAGCAAAAAUUUGCAAUGAAUAAAGCACUAGAACAAAAACUAAUUGGACCAUUGGAGGAGUCACAUACCGAAGAACAAUCCCCCAAAGCAGUUUUGUGAAUGGAGCUUUGAGCAAGGAGAUCGAAAAUGGCAGCAAGAUAAGCAAGAACACGAGUUUGAGCAAUGGAGUGAUUUUUUCUGGAGGAAGAAGGAGAGAUGGAUGCUGGAAUAAGUGGAGGGGGCCACGUGGGGCCCACAAGGUCAGGGGGCGCACCCUCCACCCUUGUGGCCAGCUGGUGAGGCCCCCUGGUGUGUUCUUUGCACCAGAAAUUCUAAAAUAUUCUAAAAAAAUCGUAUCCAAUUUUCAGGGCAUUUGGAGAACUUUUAUUUUCGGGACAUUAUUUAUUGCAUGCAUAAUUCAGAAAACAGACAGAAAAUACAAUUUUUACUUUAUUUAAUCUAAAUAACAGAAAGUAAAAGAUGGGUACAGAGAGUUUUGUUAACAAACUUCUUCCGAAUGACAUGAAACCGGAGAACACACCAGGUUGAUCAAGUCUUAUUAACAAACUUCUUCCGAAUGACAUGAAACCGGAGAAUUUUGGAAUAACACUAGGUUACCUCAACGGGGAUAUGCAUGUCCCCAACAAUAAGAAUAUCAUAUUUCUUUUUGACAGUAGGAAGAGGAAAUUCAAAACCUCCAAUAGUAAUAGUUGAAAUUUUUCCAAUUGAAUUGAUACUAUGAACUUGAGGUUGUUUCUUCAGAAAGUGUACCGUAUGCUCAUUUCCAUUAACAUGAAAAGUGAGAUUGCCUUUACUGCAAUCAAUAACAGCCCCUGCAGUAUUCAAAAAGGGUCUACCAAGGAUAAUCGACAUACUAUCGUCCUCGGGAAUAUAAGAAUAACAAAUUCCGUUAAGAUAGUAACGUUUGCAACCACAACAGGCACAUCCUCACAAAUACCGAUGGGUAUAGCAGUUGAUUUAUCAGCCAUUUGCAAGGAAAUUUCAGCAGGUGUCAACUUAUUCAAUUUGUCUACGAUACAAAGAGAAAGGCAUAACACUAACACCGGCUCCAAGAUCACAUAAAGCAGUUUUAACAGUUUCUUUUAAUGGAGUAUGCUAUAGUUGGUACUCCUGGAUCUCCAAGUUUCUUUGGUAUUCCACUCUUAAAAGAAUAAUUAGCAAGCAUGGUGGAAAUUUCAGCUUCCGGUAUCUUUCUUUUAUUAAUAACAAUAUCUUUCAUAUACUAAGCAUAAGAAGGCAUUUUAAGCAUAUCAGUCAAACGCAUACGCAAAAAGAUAGGUCAAUCAUUUCAGCAAAGCGCUCAAAAUCCUCGUCAUCCUUUUUCUUGGAUGGCUUAGGAGGAAAGGGCAUGGGUUUCUGAGCCCAUGGUUCUCUUUCCCUACCAUGUUUCCUAGCCCUCUGGAUGUCUUCUGGUCCAAGAAAAAUCAUCGCGAAAGUUUCACUCCGUUUGGUAUUCUUUUUCCGCGAAACUCUAAAACAAGGAAAAACAUAAACAAGCACUGGGCUCUAGGUUAAUAAGUUAGUCCCAAAAAUCAUAUAAAAUAGCAUAUUAAUGCAUAUAAAACAUCCAAAAUAGAUAAUAUAAUAGCAUGGAACAAUCAAAAAUUAUAGAUACGUUGGAGACGUAUCAGGCAUCCCCAAGCUUAAUUCCUAUUCAUACUCGAGUAGGUAAAUGAUAAAAACAGAAUUUUUGAUGUGGAAUGCUACCUAACAUAUCUAUACAUGUAAUUCUCUUUAUUGUGGCAUGAAUGUUCAGAUCCGUAUAAUUAAAAAAAAAGUUUGAUAUUGACAUAAAAACAAUAAUACUUCAAGCAUACUAACAAAAUUAUUAUGUCUUCUCAAAAUAACAUGGCCAAAGAAAGCUUAUCCCUACAAAAUCAUAUAGUCUGGCUAUGCUCCAUCUUCAUCACACAAAAUAUUCAAAUCAUGCACAACCCCGAUGACAAGCCAAGCAAUUGUUUCAUACUUUUGACAUUCUCAAACUUUUUCAACUUUCACGCAAUACAUGAGCGUGAGCCAUGGACAUAGCACUAUAGGUGGAAUAGACGGUGGUUGUGGAGAAGACAAAAAGAAGGAGAUAGUCUCACAUCAACUAGUCUCACAUCAACUAGGCAUAUCAACAGGCUAUGGAGAUGCCCAUUAAUAGAUAUCAAUGUGAGUGAGUAGGGAUUGCCAUGCAACGGAUGCACUAGAGCUAUAAGUUUAUGAAAGCUCAAAAAGAAAACUAAGUGGGUGUGCAUCCAACUUGCUUGCUCAUGAAGACCUAGGGCAUUUUGAGGAAGCCCAUUGUUGGAAUAUACAAAUCAAGUUUUAUAAUGAAAAAUUCCCACUAGUAUAUGAAAGCGACAAUAUAGGAGACUCUCUAUCAUGAAGAUCAUGGUGCUACUUUGAAGCACAAGUGUGGCAAAAGGAUAGUAACAUUGUCCCUUCUCUCUUUUUCUCUCAUUUUUUUAUUUGGGCCUUCUCUUUUUUUAUUAUUUCCUCACAUGGGACAAUGCUCUAAUAAUGAAGAUCAUCACACUUCUAUUUACUUACAACUCAAAAAUUAAAACUCGAUACUAGAACAAAAAUAUGACUCUAUGUGAAUGCCUCCGGUGGUGUACCAAGAUGUGUAAUGAAUCAAGAGUGACAUGUAUGAAAGAAUUAUGAAUGAUGGCUUUGCCACAAAUACGAUGUCAACUACAUGAUCAUGCAUAGCAAUAUGACAAUGAUGAUGCUUGUCAUAAUAAACGGAACGGUGAAAAGUUGCAUGGCAAUAUAUCUCGGAAUGGCUAUGAAAAUGCCAUAAUAGGUAGGUAUGGUGGCUGUUUUGAGGAAGGUAUAUGGUGGGUUUAUGGUACCGGCAAAAGUUACGCGGUACAAGAGAGGCUAGCAAUGGCGGAAAGGUGAGAGUGCGUAUAAUCCAUGGACUCAACAUUAGUCAUAAAAAACUCACAUACUUAUUGCAAAAAUCUAUUAGACAACGAAACAAAGUACCACGCGCAUGCUCCUAGGGGGAUAGAUUGGUAGGAAAAGACCAUCGCUCGUCCCCGACCGCCACUCAUAAGGAAGACAAUCAAAAAAUAUCUCAUGCUCCAACUUCGUUACAUAACGGUUCACCAUACGUGCAUGCUACGGGACUCACAAACCUUAACACAAGUAUUUAUAAAAUUCACAACUACUCACUAGCAUGACUCUAAUAUCACUAUCUCCAUAUCUCAAAACAAUCAUAAGGAAUCAAACUUCUCAUAGUAUCCAAUGCACUUUAUAUAAAACUUUUUAUUAUAUCCCUCUUGAAUGUCUAUCAUAUUAGGACUAAUUUUAUAACCAAAGCAAAUUACCAUGUUGUUUUUAAAGACUCUCAAAAUAAUAUAAAUGAAGUACGAGAGAUCAACAAUUUCUAUAAAAUAAAACCACCACCGUGCUCUAAAAAGAUAUAAGUGAAGCACUAGAGCAAAAUUGCCUAGCUCAAAAGAUAUAAGUGAAGCACAUAGAGUAUUCUAAUAAAUCACGAUUCAUGUGUGUCUCUCCCAAAAGGUGUGUAAAGCAAGGAUGAUUGUGGCAAACUAAAAAGCAAAGACUCAAAUCAUACAAGACGCUCCAAGCAAAACACAUAUCAUGUGGUGAAUAAAAAUAUAGCCUCAAGCAAAGUUACCGAUAGACGAAGACGAAAGAGGGGAUGCCUUCCCGGGGCAUCCCCAAGGUUAGGCUCUUGGUUGUCCUUGAAUAUUACCUUGGGGUGCCUUUAGAAUCCCCAAGCUUAGCCUCUUGCCACUCCUUAUUCUAUAGUCCAUCGAAUCCUUACCCAAAACCUGAAAACUUCACAACACAAAACUUCAACAGAAAAUCUCAUAAGCUCCGUUAGUAUAAGAAAAUAAAUCACCACUUUUGGUACUACUGUGAACUCAUUCUUUAUUUAUAUUGGUGUAAUAUCUACUGUAUUCUAACUUUUCCAUGGUUCAUACCCCCCGAUACUAGCCAUAGAUUCAUCAAAAUAAGCAAACAACACGCGAAAAACAGAAUCUGUAAAAAACAGAACAGUCUGUAGCAAUCUGGAUAUUUUGAAUACUUCUGUAAAUACAAAACUCCUGAGAAAUUAGGAACUCCUAAGCAAUUUGAAUAUCAAUCUACUGUAAAAAAUUCAGAAUUUUUCGACGCUCCUGUGAUUUUUAAAAAUUCUGGGACUGAGCGCAUAAGUUUCUGUUUUUUCAGCAAGAUCAAAUCAACUAUUACCGUAAGCUAUCCCAAAGGUCUUACUUGGCACAAACACUAAUUAAAACAUAAAACCACAUCUAAACACAGGCUAGAUGAAAUAUUUAAUGCAAAACAGAACCUAAAAAGAAAAAAAAUAAAGUUGGGUUGCCUCCCAACAAGCGCUUUUCUUUAAAGCCUUUUAGCUAGGCGUUGAGAUUUCAAUGAUGCUCACAUGAAAGACAAGAAUUGAAGCACAAAGAGAGCAUCAUAAAACAUGUGACAAACACACUUAAGUCUAACAUACUUCCUAUGCAUAGGUAUUUUAUAAGCAAACAAAUUAUCAAGGUAAGCAAAAACUAGCAUAUGCAAGGAAGAAGAAAGAGACGAUAGCAAUCUCAACAUGAAGAGAGGUAAUUUAGUAACAUGGAAAUUUCUACAACCAUAUUUUCCUCUGAUAAUAAUUACAUGUAGGAUCACAAGAAAAUUCAACAAAAUAGCUAUCACAUAACAUAUUCUCAACACGAUCCACAUGCAUGCGAAGUUGACACUCUUCCAAAAUAGUGGGAUUAACACUAACUAAAGUCAUGACCUCUCCAAACCCACUUAUGUAAAAAAAUUCAUAAGAUUGAAUAUUCUCCAAAUAUGUGGGAUCUAAAGUUGACACUCUUCCAAACCCACUUUCAAUAUUAUUGCAAACAUUAUUAUCAAUCUCAUAUUCAUCAUGGGGCUUAAAUAAAUUUUCAAGAUCAUAAGAAGAAUCAUCCCAAUCAUGAUCAUUGCAACAAGUAGUGGACAUAGCAAAACUAGCAUCCCCAAGCUUGGGGUUUUGCAUAUCAUUAAUAUAAUUUACAUUAGUAGAAUUUAUAAUAACAUCAUUGCAAUCAUGAUUUUGAUUCAAGGAACUAUCAACUAUGGGUGCAAUAGCAAUAAUCUCAUGUUUAACAUAAGGAACUAUAGCAAAUUCAUCUCCACAAAUAUUGGCAUCAUGGCCAUAAGAAUAGCAAGCAUCAUAUUCAUCAAGGGAUAUUUCAAUCAAAUCAUCGGAAUCAUAAUUAUCUAUAGAUUCAUGCAUAUCAUUAUUUUCUUCCAAAGCAACGGUCUUCUCUCAAUAAAUUCCUUAACAUACGCAUUAUGAGCAUAGUUUUCAUAGCAAUAUUUAAGUAUGUCGGAAUUUUCAGAUUUGUAGAGAGUAAUAUCAUACUUUUCAAUCAAAGAAGCAACUUCAUGAGCACUCUUAAAAGCAACAAAUUCUUCAAUUUGUUCGAUAUCAUAGUAACUAUCAACACCCUUUUCAUUAGAAGAUAAGAUUUCAUUAUCAUUAAACUCACAUAGGUAGGGAAGGUGUUUUUUAGGGUUCUUAGAGAAACAAGUAAAAUCAUAAAUUUCACAAAGAUUCCAAGCAUAACACAGCAAACUGCUUAUUUGAUUCCAUAAGAGUCUCCCUUUUCAGACAAACGGUGACGCACAAAAUAAGCAUGCUCAUCUAAAGAUUUUCCCUCAACUAAACUAGUUGGGGUUUCAGCACUAGCACAAAUAGAUCGAAGAUGAUCCAAGUAGAAAACUUUACGUGGAUCCAUAUCAAUAGAUUUUUAUCAAGCAAAGAUGCAAGCAAAUAGAAGGCACAUGGAAACACAAACAAAAAGACAUACGGAAAGAAGGCGAAGAAAAGGCAAAUCUUUUCGAAAAUCAUUUUAGAAGUGGGGGAGAGGAAAACGAGAGGUGAAUGGUGAAUAAUGUAAUGCAAGAGAUGAGAGUUUAUGAUGGGUAGUUGGUAUGUCUUGGCUUGGCGUAGAUCUCCUCGACAACGACGCCAGAAAUUCUUCCUGCUACCUCUUGAGUUUGCGUUGGUUUUUUCCUUGAAGAGGAAAGGGUGAUGCAGCAAAGUAGAGUAAGUAUUUCCCUCAGCUUUUGAGAACCAAGGUAUCAAUCUAGUAGGAGACAACGCAACAAGCCACCGAAUACCUACACAAAAAAACACCAACUUGCACCCAACGCGACAAAGGGGUUGUCAAUCCCUUCACAGUUAUUUGCAAAGUGAGAUCUGAUAUAGAUGGAUAAACAGUAAAGUAAUAUUUUUGGUAUUUUUGGUUUAUGGAAUGGAAAGUAAAAGAUUACAAAGAAAGUAACACUACAGGAAUGAGGAACUUUGCCGUCAGCCAUGGCGGACGGCAAAGGCACACAUGGCGGAUGGCGAAGACCUUUGCCGUCAGCCCGCUAACGGCAACACGUCCGGCUGAACAGGCUAUGGCAAAGGCUUCUUUGCCGUCUGCUGGCGGACGGCAAAGAUACAAAGGUCUUUGCCGUCCGCCAGACGAUGGCAAAGAGCCUGGAUGGCGCACGUGUCAGCUUAGGUCCGUUAAGGGGUUAACAGCGUUCAUUGUCAUCGGCUGGCAGAUGGCAACGACCUUUCUAUCUUUGCCGUCAGCCAGCGGACGAUAAAUAGCAUUGAAUCAUUGCCGUCGGCCGGCGGACGGCCAAGCAUGCCACGUGGAAGCACCUGGGGGGCUGGCCUAUUUGGUAGCUUUGCCGUCAGCUGGCUGACGGCAAAUAUUAAACGUUCUUUGCCGUCCGCCAGCGGACGGCAAAGCAACAAAAUAGGCAGCCUACUGCCCUAGGUUGCACAGGUAGCUGACAUGUGGCAUUUUUGCCGUCCGCUAGCUAAUGGCAAAGCUCUUUGCCGUCCGCCAGCUGACGGCAAAGAGUCUAUAUAGCCCCUGUUUUUUUGUUUUUUCUUGGAACCAGCUGACGGCAAAGAGUCUAUACACACAUAUGAAAAUACUUUCGACAAGCAUACCAACACAUAUACAUACCAAAUCAUAUCCCUACCAUAUGGAUAUGAUCAUCCAACACAUAUACAUAGCAAAUGGUUUCAUCCAACACAUAUACAUAGCCAACAUAUCAACAACAAGCAUACAAUGGUUUCAUCCAUACAUACAUAUAUAGGUAGCAAGUUUGACAUUGUCCAUCGUACAAAAUCAAAACAAGAAGGAAGCAUAAAGAGAAGAGUAGACUCCAUCAACGCAAGCUUCCUCAUCUAAAGCAAAUCUGCAAAUUGGGAAAGAAGCAAGUUAGAAGAAGAAGACUAUCUAGAAAAGAAGAAGAAGAAGAAGAAGAGGAAGAAAAGGAAGAAGAAGAUUUUUCUUCUCUUUCUUUUUCUAAGUGUAGGUCAUUUUAGAGCUAAGCUAGGUAAAUAGGUCAUUUUGGAGCUUACUAAGGUUAUUAUGUCAUUUUCGAGGAAAGUAAGGUAAGUCUAUAUCAUUUGGAGGUAAGCAAGAUUAUCAUGACAUUUUUGAGGAAAGAAAGCUAAGUAUAGCUCAUUUUUUUGUCUAACUUAGGUAGUGCUACCUCUUGAGCAUGCGUUGGUUUUUCCUUGAAGAGAAAAUGGUGAUGCAGCAAAGUAGCGUAACUAUUUCCCUCAGUUUUUGAGAACUAAGGUAUCAAUCCAAUGGUAGAUAACACGCAAGUCACCUAGUACCUGCAUAAACAAUCAAGAACCUUGCAACCAACGCGAUAAAGGGGUUGUCAAUCCCUUCACGGUCACUCGCAAAAGUGAGAUCUAAUAAAGAUAGUAAGAUAAAUAUUUUUGGUAUUUUUGUUGUAUAGAUUGGAAAGUAAAGAUUGCAAAAUAGUGAAAUGAGAUGUGAUGUAAAUAAAUGAGAUGCAAUAUAAUAAGAAAGAGACCCAGGGGCCAUAGGUUUCACUAGUGGCUUCUCUCAAGAUAGCAUAUAUUACGGUGGGUGAACAAAUUACUACCGAGCAAUUGAUAGAAAAGCGCAUAGUUAUGAGAAUAUAUAGGCAUGAUCAUCAAUAUAGGCAUCACGUCCGUGUCAAGUAAACCGAAGCGAUUCUGCAUCUACUACUAUUACUCCACACAUCGACCGCUAUCCAGCAUGCAUCUAGAGUAUUAAGUUCAUAAGAACAAAGUAACGCAUUAAGCAAGAUGACAUGAUGUAGAGGGAUAAACUCAAGCAAUAUGAUAUAAACCCCAUCUUUUUAUCCUCGAUGGCAACAAUACAAUACGUGCCUUGCUACCCCUACUGUCACUGGGAAAGGACACCGCAAGAUUGAACCCAAAGCUAAGCACUUCUCCCAUUGCAAAAAAGAUCAAUCUAGUAGGCAAAACUAAACCGAUAAUUCGAAGAGACUUGCAAAGAUAUCAAAUCAUGCAUAUAAGAAUUCAGAGAAGAACCAAAUAUUAUUCAUAGAUAAACCUGAUCAUAAAUCCACAAUUCAUCGGAUCUCGGCAAACACACCGCAAAAGAGUAUUACAUCGAAUAGAUCUCCAAGAACAUCGAGGAGAACUUUGUAUUGAGAAUCAAAGAGAGAGAAGAAGCCAUCUAGCUAAUAACUAUGGACCCGAAGGUCUGUGGUAAACUACUCACACAUCAUCGGAGAGGCUAUGGUGUUGAUGUAUAAGCCCUCCGUGAUCGAUUCCCCCUCCGGCAGAUCGCCGGAAAAGGCCCCAAGAUGGGAUCUCACGGGUACAGAAGGUUGCGGUGGUGGAAAAGUGGUUUCGUGGCUCCCCGAAAUGUUUUUAGGGUAUAAGAGUAUAUAUAGGUGAAAGAAGUACGCCGGUGGAGCUCCGUGGGGCCCACGAGGGUGGGGGGCGCGCCCUCCUGCCUCGUGGCCGCCUUGCGGAGUUACAGACUUCAACUCCAAGUCUUCUGGAUUGCGUUUGUUCCAAGAAAGGUCAUCGCGAAGGUUUCAUUCCGUUUGGUAUUCCUUUUCUACAAAACACUGAAAUAGGCAAAAAAACAGAAACUGGCACUGGGCCUUCGGUUAAUAGGUUAGUCCCAAAAAUAAUAUAAAAUAGCAUAUUAAAGCACAUUAAACAUCCAAAACAGAUAAUAUAAUAGCAUGGAACAAUCAAAAAUUAUAGAUACAUUGGAGACGUAUCAAGCAUCCCCAAGCUUAAUUCCUGCUCGUCCUCGAGUAGGUAAAUGAUAAAAACAGAAUUUUUGAUGUGGAAUACUACCUAACAUAAUUUUCAAUGUAAUUUUCUUUAUUGUGGCAUGAAUGUUCAGAUCCGAAAGAUUCAAGACAAAAGUUUAAUAUUAACAUAAAAAUAAUAAUACUUCAAGCAUACUAACCAAGCAAUUAUGUCUUCUCAAAAUAACAUAGCCAAAGAAAGCUCAUCCCUACAAAAUCAUAUAGUUUAGCCAUGCUCCAUCUUCGUCACACAAAAUGCCCCAAUCAUGCACAACCCCAAUGACAAGCCAAGCAAUUGUUUCAUACUUUAGUAUUCUCAAACUUUUUCAACUUUCACGCAAUACAUGAGCGCGAGCCAUGGACAUAACACUAUAGGUGGAAUAGAAUGGUGGUUGUGGAGAAGACAAAAAAGAGGAAGAUGGUCUCACAUCAACUAGGCGUAUUAAUGGGCUAUGGAGAUGCCCAUCAAAAGAUAUCAAUGUGAGUGAGUAGGGAUUGCCAUGCAACGGAUGCACUAGAGCUAUAAAUGUAUGAAAGCUCAACAAAAGAAACUAAGUGGGUGUGCAUCCAACUUGCUUGCUCACGAAGAGCUAGGGCAUUUGAGGAAGCCCAUUGUUGGAAUAUACAAGCCAAGUUCUAUAACGAAAAUUCCCACUAGUAUAUGAAAGUGAAAAAAUAAGAGACUCUCUAUCAUGAAGAUCAUGGUGCUACUUUGAAGCACAAGUGUGGAAAAAGGAUAGUAACAUUGUCCCUUCUCUCUUUUUCUCUCAUAUUUUUGGGCCUUCUCUUUUUUUUGGCCUGCCUUUCUCUUUUUUGGGGGGCCUUCUCUUUUUUAUUGGCCUUUCCCUUUUUUUCCUCACACCGGACAAUGCUCUAAUAAUGAUGAUCAUCACACUUCUAUUUAUUUACAACUCAAGGAUUACAACUCGAUACUAGAACAAAAUAUGACUCUAUAUGAGUGCCUCCGGCGGUGUACCGGGAUGGGCAAUGAAUCAAGAGUGACAUGUAUGAAAAAAUGUGAAUGGUGGCCUUGCCACAAAUACGAUGUCAACUACAUGAUCAUGCAAGGCAAUAUGACAAUGAUGAAGUGUGUCAUGAUAAACGGAACGGUGAAAAGUUGCAUGGCAAUAUAUCUCGGAAUGGCUAUGGAAAUGCCAUAAUAGGUAGGUAUGGUGGCUGUUUUGAGGAAGGUAUAUGGUGGGGUUAUGGUACCAGCGAAAGUUGCGUGGUACUAGAGAGGCUAGCAAUGGUGGAAGGAUGAGAGUGCGUAUAAUCCGUGGACUCAACAUUAGUCAUAAAGAACUCACAUACUUAUUGCAAAAAUCUACAAGUCAUCAAAACCAAGCACUAUGCGCAUGCUCCUAGGGGGAUAGAUUGGUAGGAAAAGACCAUCGCUAGUCCCCGACCGCCACUCAUAAGGAGGACAAUCAAAGAAACACCGCAUGCUUCAAAUUUGUUACACAACGAUUACCAUACGGGACUUGCAAACCUCAACACAAGUAUUUCUCAAAUUCACAAUUACUCAACUAGCAUGACUCUAAUAUCACCGUCUUCAUAUCUCAAAACAAUCAUCAAGUAUCAAACUUCUCAUAAUAUUCAAUGCACUCUAUAUGAAAGUUUUUAUUAUACCCAUCUUGAAUGCCCAUCAUAUUAGGACUAAUUUUAUAAGCAAAGCAAAUUACCAUGCGGUUCUAGAAGACUCUCAAAAUAAUAUAAGUGAAGCAUGAGAGAUCAAUGAUUUCUAUAAAAUAAAGCCACCACCGUGCUCUAAAAAAGAUAUAAGUGAAGCACUAGAGCAAAAUUAUCUAGCUCAAAAGAUAUAAGUGAAGCACAUAGAGUAUUCCAAUAAAUUCCGAUUAAUGUGUGUCUCUCCCAAAAGAUGUGUACAGCAAGGUUGAUUGCGGUAAACUAAAAAGCAAAGACUCAAAUCAUACAAGACGCUCCAAGCAAAACACAUAUCAUGUGGUGAAUAAAAAUAUAGCCUCAAGUAAAGUUACCGAUAGACGACGACGAAAGAGGCCUUCCGGGGCAUCCCCAAGCUUAGGCUUUUGGUUGUCCUUGAAUUUUACCUUGGGGUGCCUUGGGCAUCCCCAAGCUUAGGCUCUUGCCACUCCUUAUUCCAAAAUCCAUCAAAUCUUUACCCAAAAACUUGAAAACUUCACAACACAAAACUUAACAGAAAAUCUCAUGAGCUCCGUUAGUAUAAGAAAACAAACCACCACUUUAAGGUACUGUAAUGAACUCAUUCUUUAUUUAUAUUGGUGUUAAACCUACUAUAUUCCAACUUCUCUAUGGUUCAUACCCCCCGAUACUACCCAUAGAUACAUUAAAAUAAGCAAACAACACACAAAAACAGAAUCUGUCAAAACAGAACAGUCUGUAGCAAUCUGAUUCAUACGCAUACUUCUGGAACUCCAAAAAUUCUGAAAUAAAUUGGUGGACGUGAGAAAUUUGUCUAUUAAUCAUCUUCAAAAAUAAUCAACCUAAAAGCACUCUCCAGUAAAAAAUUACAUCUAAUCUCGUGAGCGCAAAAGUUUCUGUUAUUUACGGCAAGAUUGCAAAGACUUCACCCAUGUCUUCCCAAAGGUUAUACUUGGCACAAACACUAAUUAAAACAUAAAACCACAUCUAAACAGAGGCUAGAUGAAUUAUUUAUUACUAAACAGGAACAAAAAGCAAAACACAAAAAAUAAAAUUGGGUUGCCUCCCAACAAGCGCUAUCGUUUAACGCCCCUAGCUAGGCAUUGAUAAUUUUAAUGAUGCUCACAUCAAAGACAAGAAUUAAAGCACAAAGAGAGCAUCAUAGAACACGUGAUAAACACAUAUAAGUCUAACAUACUUCCUAUGCAUAGGUAUUUUAUAAGCAAACAAAUUAUCAUAGGAAGCAAAAAUUAGCAUAUGCAAGGAAGAAGAAAGAGACGAUAGCAAUCUCAACAUGACGAGAGGUAAUUUAGUAAGAUAAAAAUUUCUACAACCAUAUUUUCCUCUCUCAUAAUAAUUACUGUUGGAAAUAUGCCCUAGAGGCAAUAAUAAAUGGUUAUUAUUAUAUUUCUUUGUUCAUGGUAAUUGUCUAUUAUUCAUGCUAUAAUUGUAUUGUCCGGAAAUCGUGAUACUGUGUGAAUACAUAGACCACAACCUGUCCCUAGUAAGCCUCUAGUUGACUAGCUCGUUGAUCAACAGAUAGUCAUGGUUUCCUGACUAUGGACAUUGGAUGUCAUUGAUAACGGGAUCACAUCAUUAGGAGAAUGAUGUGAUGGACAAGACCCAACUUAAGCAUAGCAUAAAAGAUCGUGUAGUUUCGUUUGCUAGAGCUUUUCCAAUGUCAAGUAUCUUUUCCUUAGACCAUGAGAUCGUGCAACUCCCGGAUACCGUAGGAGUGCUUUGGGUGUGCCAAACGUCACAACGUAACUGGGUGACUAUAAAGGUGCAUUACGGGUAUCUCCGAAAGUGUCUGUUGGGUUGGCACGGAUCGAGACUGGGAUUUGUCACUCCGUGUGACGGAGAGGUAUCUCUGGGCCCACUCGGUAAUGCAUCAUCAUAAUGAGCUCAAUGUGACUAAGGCGUUAGUCACAGGAUCAUGCAUUGCGGUACGAGUAAAGAGACUUGCCGGUAACGAGAUUGAACUAGGUAUUGGGAUACCGACGAUCGAAUCUCGGGCAAGUAACAUACCGAUUGACAAAGGGAAUUGCAUACGGAUUGAUUGAAUCCUCGACACCGUGGUUCAUCCGAUGAUAUCAUCGUGGAACAUGUGGGAGCCAACAUGGGUAUCCAGAUCCCGCUGUUGGUUAUUGACUGGAGAGGCGUCUCGGUCAUGUCUGCAUGUCUCCCGAACCCGUAGGGUCUACACACUUAAGGUCCGGUGACGCUAGGGUUGUAGAGAUAUAUGUAUGCGGAAACCCGAAAGUUGUUCGGAGUCCCGGAUGAGAUCCUGGACGUCACGAGAGGUUCCAGAAUGGUCCGGAGGUAAAGAUUUAUAUAUGGGAAGUCUUAUUUUGGUUGCCGGAAAAGUUUCGCACUUUAUCGGUAUUGUACCGGGAGUGCCGAAAGGGGUCCGGGGGUCCACCAGCCCCGGGGGGCCACAUGGGCUGUAAGGGGUGCGCCUUGGCCUAUAUGGGCCAAGGGCACCAGCCCCAAGAGGCCCAUGCGCAAGAGAUAAGAAAGAAGGAAGAGUCCUAAAGGGGGAAGGCACCUCCGAGGUGCCUUGGGGGGGAAGGACUCCCCCCUGGCCGCACCCUUCCUUGGAGGAAGGGGCAAGGCUGCGCCCCCCCUCUCCCUUGGCCCUAUAUAUAGUGGGGGGGAGGGAGGGCAGCAACACAAAAGCCUUGGGCGCCUCCCUCCUCCCCUGCAACACCUCUCUCUCUCUCGCAGAAGCUCGGCGAAGCCCUGCCGGAGACCCGCUACAUCCACCACCACGCCGUCGUGCUGUUGGAUCUCCAUCAACCUCUCCUCCCCCCUUGCUGGAUCAAGAAGGAGGAGACGUCGCUGCACCGUACGUGUGUUGAACGCGGAGGUGCCGUACGUUCGGCACUCGGUCAUCGGUGAUUUGGAUCACGACGAGUACGACUCCGUCAUCCACGUUCAUUGGAACGCUUCCGCUCGCGAUCUACAAGGGUAUGUAGAUCCACUCCUUUCCCCUCGUUGCUAGUAGACUCCAUAGAUGCAUCUUGGUGAGCGUAGGAAAAUUUUAAAUUAUGCUACGAUUCCCAACAGUGGUAUCAGAGCCAGGUCUAUGCAUAGUUACUAUGCACGAGUAGAACACAAAGCAGUUGUGGGCGUUGAGUUUGCCAAUUCUUCUUGCCGCUACUAGUCGUUUCUUGUUUCGGUGGCAUUGUAGGAUGAAGCGGCCCGGACCGACCUUACACGUACGCUUACGUGAGACUGGUUCCACUGACUGACAUGCACUAGUUGCAUAAGGUGGCUAGCGGGUGUCUGUCUCUCCUACUUUAGUCGGAACGGAUUCGAUGAAAAGGGUCCUUAUGAAGGGUAAAUAGAAAUUGGCAAAUCACGUUGUGGUCAUACGUAGGUAAGAAACGUUCUUGCUAGAAACCUACAAACCACAUAAAAACUUGCAACAACAAUUAGAGGACGUCUAACUUGUUUUUGCAGCAAGUGCUAUGUGAUGUGAUAUGGCCAGAAGAUGUGAUGAAUGAUAUAUGUGAUGUAUGAGAUUGAUCAUAUUCUUGUAAUAGGAAUCACGACUUGCAUGUCGAUGAGUAUGACAACCGGCAGGAGCCAUAGGAGUUGUCUUUAUUAUUUUGCAUGACCUGCAUGUCAUUGAAUAACGCCAUGUAAUUUACUUUACUUUGUUGCUAAACGCGUUAGCCAUACAAGUAGAAGUAAUCGUUGGCGUGACGACUUCAUGAAGACACAAUGAUGGAGAUCAUGAUGAUGGAGAUCAUGGUGUCAUGCCGGUGACGAAGAUGAUCAUGGUGCCCCGAAGAUGGAGAUCAAAGGAGCAUGAUGAUAUUGGCCAUAUCAUGUCACUAUUUGAUUGCAUGUGAUGUUUAUCAUGUUUUUGCAUCUUAUGUGCUUAGAACGACGGUAGCAAAUAGGAUGAUCCCUUAUAAUAAUUUCAAGAAAGUGUUCACCCUAACUGUGCACCGUUGCGAAGGUUCGUUGUUUCGAAGCACCACGUGAUGAUCGGGUGUGAUAGAUUCUAACGUUCGAAUACAACGGGUGUUGACGAGCCUAGCAUGUACAGACAUGGCCUCGGAACACACGCAAUACACUUAGGUUGACUUGACGAGCCUAGCAUGUACAGACAUGGCCUCGGAACACGGAGGACCGAAAGGUCGAGCAUGAGUCGUAUAGAAGAUACGAUCAACAUGGAGAUGUUCACCGAUCUUGACUAGUCCGUCUCACGUGAUGAUCGGACACGGCCUAGUCGAAUUCGGAUCAUGUUUCACUUAGAUGACUAGAGGGAUGUCUAUCUGAGUGGGAGUUCAUUAAAUAAUUUGAUUAUAUGAACUUAAUGUUGGGAAUCGUAGCAUAAUUUAAAAUUUUCCUACGCUCACCAAGAUGCAUCUAUGGAGUCUACUAGCAACGAAGGGAAAGGAGUGGAUCUACAUACCCUUGUAGAUCGCGAGCGGAAGCGUUCCAAUGAACGUGGAUGACGGAGUCGUACUCGCCGUGAUCCAAAUCACCGAUGACCGAGUGCCGAACGGACGGCACCUCCGCGUUCAACACACGUACGGUGCAGCAACGUCUCCUCCUUCUUGAUCCAGCAAGGGGGAAGGAGAGGUUGAUGGAGAUCCAACAGCACGACGGCGUGGUGGUGGAUGUAGCGGGUCUCCGGCAGGGCUUCGCCGAGCUUCUGCGAGAGAGAGAGAGGUGUUGCAGGGGAGGAGGGAGGCGCCCAAGGCUUAGAUGUUGCUGCCCUCCCUUCCCCCCACUAUAUAUAGGGCCAAGGGAGAGGGGGGGCGCAGCCUUGCCCCUUCCUCCAAGGAAGGGUGCGGCCAGGGGGGAGUCCUUCCCCCCCAAGGCACCUCGGAGGUGCCUUCCCCUUUUAGGACUCUCCCUUUUUUCUUAUCUCUUGUGCAUGGGCCUCUUGGGGCUGGUGCCCUUGGCCCAUAUAGGCCAAGGCGCACCCCUUACAGCCCAUGUGGCCCCCCGGGGCUGGUGGACCCCCUUGGUGGACCCCCGGACCCCUUUCGGCACUCCCGGUACAAUACCGAUAAAGUGCGAAACCUUUCCGGCGACCAAAAUAAGACUUCCCAUAUAUAAAUCUUUACCUCCGGACCAUUCCGGAACCUCUCGUGACGUCCGGGAUCUCAUCCGGGACUCCGAACAACUUUCGGGUUUCCGCAUACAUAUAUCUCUACAACCCUAGCGUCACCGGACCUUAAGUGUGUAGACCCUACGGGUUCGGGAGACAUGCAGACAUGACCGAGACGCCUCUCCGGUCAAUAACCAACAGCGGGAUCUGGAUACCCAUGUUGGCUCCCACAUGCUCCACGAUGAUCUCAUCGGAUGAACCACGGUGUCGAGGAUUCAAUCAAUCCGAUGCAAUUCCCUUUGUCAAUCGGUAUGUUACUUGCCCGAGAUUCGAUCGUCGGUAUCCCAAUACCUAGUUCAAUCUCGUUACCGGCAAGUCUCUUUACUCGUACCGCAAUGCAUGAUCCCGUGACUAACUCCUUAUUCACAUUGAGCUCAUUAUGAUGAUGCAUUACCGAGUGGGCCCAGAGAUACCUCUCCGUCACACGGAGUGACAAAUCCCAGUCUCGAUCCGUGCCAACCCAACAGACACUUUCGGAGAUACCCGUAAUGCACCUUUAUAGUCACCCAGUUACGUUGUGACGUUUGGCACACCCAAAGCACUCCUACGGUAUCCGGGAGUUGCACGAUCUCAUGGUCUAAGGAAAAGAUACUUGACAUUGGAAAAGCUCUAGCAAACGAAACUACACGAUCUUUUAUGCUAUGCUUAGGAUUGGGUCUUGUCCAUCACAUCAUUCUCCUAAUGAUGUGAUCCCGUUAUCAACGACAUCCAAUGUCCAUGGUCAGGAAACCGUAACCAUCUAUUGAUCAACGAGCUAGUCAACUAGAGGCUCACUAGGGACAUGGUGUUGUCUAUGUAUUCACACAUGUAUUACGAUUUCCGGACAAUACAAUUAUAGCAUGAAUAAUGGACAAUUACCAUGAACAAAGAAAUAUAAUAAUAACCAUUUAUUAUUGCCUCUAGGGCAUAUUUCCAACACUUAAUUAUCAUGAACUUAGUCUAAAUCUUUACACUGUGUAUUGUAGAUCAAAUGGCCCACGUUGUCCUCAAUUUCAACGCGUUCCUAGAGAAAACCAAGCUGAAAGAUGAUGGCAGCAACUAUACGGACUGGGUCCGGAACCUGAGGAUCAUCCUCAUAGCAGCCAAGAAAGAUUAUGUCUUAGAAGCACCGCUAGGUGAAGCACCAAUCCCUGAGAACCAAGACGUUAUGAACGCUUGGCAGCAGCGUGCUGAUGAUUACUCCCUCGUUCAGUGCGGCAUGCUUUAUAGCUUAGAACCGGGUCUCCAAAAGCGUUUUGAGAAACAUGGAGCAUAUGAGAUGUUCGAGGAGCUGAAACUGGUUUUUCAAGCUCAUGCCCGGGUCGAGAGAUAUGAUGUCUCCGACAAGUUCUUCAGCUGUAAAAUGGAGGAGAAUAGUUCUGUUAGUGAGCACAUACUCAGAAUGUCUGGGUUGCACAACCGCUUGUCUCAGCUGGGAGUUAAUCUCCCGGAUGACGCGGUCAUUGACAGAAUCCUCCACUCGCUUCCACCAAGCUACAAGAGCUUUGUGAUGAACUACAAUAUGCAGGGGAUGGAAAAGACCAUUCCCGAGGUAUAUUCAAUGCUGAAAUCAGCUGAGGUAGAGAUCAGAAAUGAACAUCAAGUGUUGAUGGUGAAUAAAACCACUAAGUUCAAGAAGGGCAAGGGUAAGAAGAACUUCAAGAAGGACGGCAAGGGAGUUGCCGCGCCCGGUAAGCCAGUUACCGGGAAGAAGUCAAAGAAUGGACCCAAGCCCGAGACUGAGUGCUUUUAUUGCAAGGGAAGUGGUCACUGGAAGCGGAACUGCCCCAAAUAUUUAGCGGACAAGAAGAAGGCCGGCAACACCCAAGGUAUAUGUGAUAUACAAGUAAUUGAUGUGUACCUUACCAGUACUCAUAGUAGCUCCUGGGUAUUUGAUACCGGUGCGGUUGCUCAUAUUUGUAACUCAAAACAGGAACUACAGAAUAAACAGAGACUGGCGAAGGACGAGGUGACGAUGCGCGUCGGGAAUGGUUCCAAGGUCGAUGUGAUCGCCGUCGGCACGCUACCUCUGCAUCUCCCUACGGGAUUAGUUUUAAACCUCAAUAAUUGUUAUUUAAUGCCAGCUUUGAGCAUGAACAUUGUAUCUGGAUCUCGUUUAAUUCGAGAUGGCUACUCAUUUAAAUCUGAGAAUAAUGGUUGUUCUAUUUAUUUGAGAGAUAUGUUUUAUGGUCAUGCCCCGCUGGUCAAUGGUUUAUUUCUGAUGAAUCUCGAACGUGAUGUUACACAUGUUCAUAGUGUGAAUACCAAAAGAUGUAAAGUUGAUAACGAUAGUCCCACAUACUUGUGGCACUGCCGCCUUGGUCACAUUGGUGUCAAGCGCAUGAAGAAGCUCCAUGUAGAUGGACUUUUGGAGUCUCUUGAUUACGAAUCAUUUGACACGUGCGAACCAUGCCUCAUGGGUAAGAUGACCAAGACUCCGUUCUCCGGAACAAUGGAGCGAGCAACCAACUUAUUGGAAAUCAUACAUACCGAUGUGUGUGGUCCAAUGAGUGUUGAGGCUCGCGGAGGAUAUCGUUAUGUUCUCACUCUCACUGAUGAUUUAAGUAGAUAUGGGUAUGUCUACCUAAUGAAACACAAGUCUGAAACCUUUGAAAAGUUCAAGGAAUUUCAGAGUGAGGUUGAGAAUCAACGUGACAGGAAAAUAAAAUUCUUACGAUCAGAUCGUGGUGGAGAAUAUUUAAGUCACGAAUUUUGUACACACUUAAGGAAAUGUGGAAUAGUUUCACAACUCACGCCGCCUGGAACACCUCAGAGAAAUGGUGUGUCCGAACGUCGUAAUCGCACUCUAUUGGAUAUGGUGCGAUCUAUGAUGUCUCUUACCGAUUUACCGCUCUCAUUUUGGGGUUAUGCUUUAGAGACUGCCGCAUUCACUUUAAAUAGGGCACCGUCUAAAUCCGUUGAGAUGACACCGUAUGAAUUAUGGUUUGGGAAGAAACCUAAGCUGUCGUUUCUAAAAGUUUGGGGAUGCAAUGCUUAUGUCAAGAAACUUCAACCUGAAAAGCUCGAACCCAAAUCGGAAAAAUGCGUCUUCAUAGGAUACCCUAAGGAAACUAUUGGGUACACCUUCUACCUCAGAUCCGAAGGCAAGAUCUUCGUUGCCAAGAACGGGUCCUUUCUAGAGAAGGAGUUUCUCUCGAAAGAAUUGAGUGGGAGGAAAGUGGAACUUGAUGAGGUGAUAGUCACCCCUUCCGAGUCGGAAAAUAGCGCAGCGCGGGAAAAUGUUCCUGUGGUGCCUACACCGACGGGGCAGGAAGUUAAUGAUGAUGAUCAUGAAGCUUCGGAUCAAGUUGCCACUGAACUUCGUAGGUCCACAAGGACACGUUCCGCACCAGAGUGGUACGGCAACCCUGUCCUGGAAAUCAUGUUGUUAGACAACGGUGAACCUUCGAACUAUGAAGAAGCGAUGGCGGGCCCGGAUUCCGACAAAUGGCUAGAAGCCAUGAAAUCCGAGAUAGAAUCCAUGUAUGAAAACAAAGUAUGGACUUUGACUGACUUGCCCGAUGAGCGGCGAGCCAUAGAAAACAAAUGGAUCUUUAAGAAGAAGACGGACGCAGAUGGUAAUGUGACCAUCUACAAAGCUCGACUUGUCGCUAAGGGUUAUCGGCAAGUUCAAGGGGUUGACUACGAUGAGACUUUCUCACCAGUAGCGAAGCUGAAGUCCGUCCGAAUCAUGUUAGCAAUUGCCGCAUACUAUGAUUAUGAGAUAUGGCAGAUGGACGUCAAAACGGCAUUCCUUAACGGCUUCCUUAAGGAAGAGUUGUAUAUGAUGCAGCCGGAAGGUUUUGUCGAUCCUAAGAAUGCUAACAAAGUAUGCAAGCUCCAACGCUCAAUCUAUGGGCUGGUGCAAGCAUCUCGGAGUUGGAACAUUCGCUUUGAUGAGAUGAUCAAAGCGUUUGGGUUUACACAGACUUAUGGAGAAGCCUGUGUUUACAAGAAAGUGAGUGGGAGCUCUGUAGCAUUUCUCAUAUUAUAUGUGGAUGACAUACUAUUGAUGGGAAAUGAUAUAGAAUUCUUGGAAAGUAUAAAGGCCUAUUUGAAUAAGUGUUUUUCAAUGAAGGACCUUGGAGAAGCUGCUUAUAUAUUAGGCAUCAAGAUCUAUAAAGAUAGAUCAAGACGCCUCAUUGGUCUUUCACAGAGUACAUACCUUGACAAGAUAUUGAAGAAGUUCAAUAUGGAUCAGUCCAAGAAGGGGUUCUUGCCUAUAUUGCAAGGUGUGCAAUUGAGCACGGCUCAAUGCCCGACCACGGCAGCAGAUAUAGAAGAGAUGAGUGUCAUCCCCUAUGCCUCGGCCAUAGGGUCUAUUAUGUAUGCCAUGCUGUGUACCAGACCUGAUGUAAACCUUGCCGUAAGUUUGGUAGGAAGGUACCAAAGUAAUCCCGACAAGGAACACUGGACAGCAGUCAAGAAUAUCCUGAAGUACUUGAAAAGGACUAAGGAUAUGUUUCUCGUUUAUGGAGGUGACGAAGAGCUCGUCGUAAAGGGUUACGUCGACGCUAGCUUCGACACAGAUCUGGAUGACUCGAAGUCACAGACUGGAUACGUGUAUAUUUUGAAUAGAGGAGCAGUAAGCUGGUGCAGUUGCAAGCAGAGCGUCGUGGCGGGAUCUACAUGUGAAGCGGAAUACAUGGCAGCCUCGGAGGCAGCACAGGAAGCAGUCUGGAUGAAGGAGUUCAUUACCGACCUAGGGGUGAUUCCCAAUGCGUCGGGCCCGAUGACUCUCUUCUGUGACAACACUGGAGCUAUUGCCCUUGCGAAGGAGCCCAAGUUUCACAGGAAGACCAGGCAUAUCAAGCGUCGCUUCAACUCCAUUCGUGAAAGUGUUCAAAAUGGAGACAUAGAUAUUUGUAAAGUGCACACGGACCUGAAUGUAGCAGAUCCGUUGACUAAACCUCUCCCUAGGGCAAAACAUGAUCAACACCAGGACGCAAUGGGUGUUCGAUUCAUCACAAUGUAACUAGAUUAUUGACUCUAGUGCAAGUGGGAGACUGUUGGAAAUAUUCCCUAGAGGCAAUAAUAAAUGGUUAUUAUUAUAUUUCUUUGUUCAUGGUAAUUGUCUAUUAUUCAUGCUAUAAUUGUAUUGUCCGGAAAUCGUGAUACAUGUGUGAAUACAUAGACCACAACCUGUCCCUAGUAAGCCUCUAGUUGACUAGCUCGUUGAUCAACAGAUAGUCAUGGUUUCCUGACUAUGGACAUUGGAUGUCAUUGAUAACGGGAUCACAUCAUUAGGAGAAUGAUGUGAUGGACAAGACCCAACUUAAGCAUAGCAUAAAAGAUCGUGUAGUUUCGUUUGCUAGAGCUUUUCCAAUGUCAAGUAUCUUUUCCUUAGACCAUGAGAUCGUGCAACUCCCGGAUACCGUAGGAGUGCUUUGGGUGUGCCAAACGUCACAACGUAACUGGGUGACUAUAAAGGUGCAUUACGGGUAUCUCCGAAAGUGUCUGUUGGGUUGGCACGGAUCGAGACUGGGAUUUGUCACUCCGUGUGACGGAGAGGUAUCUCUGGGCCCACUCGGUAAUGCAUCAUCAUAAUGAGCUCAAUGUGACUAAGGCGUUAGUCACGGGAUCAUGCAUUGCGGUACGAGUAAAGAGACUUGCCGGUAACGAGAUUGAACUAGGUAUUGGGAUACCGACGAUCGAAUCUCGGGCAAGGAACAUACCGAUUGACAAAGGGAAUUGCAUACGGAUUGAUUGAAUCCUCGACACUGUGGUUCAUCCGAUGAUAUCAUCGUGGAACAUGUGGGAGCCAACAUGGGUAUCCAGAUCCCGCUGUUGGUUAUUGAACGGAGAGGCGUCUCGGUCAUGUCUGCAUGUCUCCCGAACCCGUAGGGUCUACACACUUAAGGUCCGGUGACGCUAGGGUUGUAGAGAUAUAUGUAUGCGGAAACCCGAAAGUUGUUCGGAGUCCCGGAUGAGAUCCCGGACGUCACGAGAGGUUCCGGAAUGGUCCGGAGGUAAAGAUUUAUAUAUGGGAAGUCUUAUUUUGGUUGCCGGAAAAGUUUCGCACUUUAUCGGUAUUGUACCGGAGUGCCGAAAGGGGUCCGGGGGUCCACCAAGGGGGUCCACCAGCCCCGGGGGGCCACAUGGGCUGUAAGGGGUGCGCCUUGGCCUAUAUGGGCCAAGGGCACCAGCCCCAAGAGGCCCAUGCGCAAGAGAUAAGAAAGAAGGGAGAGUCCUAAAGGGGGAAGGCACCUCCGAGGUGCCUUGGGGGGGAAGGACUCCCCCCUGGCCGCACCCUUCCUUGGAGGAAGGGGCAAGGCUGCUCCCCCCCCUCUCCCUUGGCCCUAUAUAUAGUGGGGGGAGGGAGGGCAGCAACACAAAAGCCUUGGGCGCCUCCCUCCUCCCCUGCAACACCUCUCUCUCUCUCUCGCAGAAGCUCGGCGAAGCCCUGCCGGAGACCCGCUACAUCCACCACCACGCCGUCGUGCUGUUGGAUCUCCAUCAACCUCUCCUCCCCCCUUGCUGGAUCAAGAAGGAGGAGACGUCGCUGCACCGUACGUGUGUUGAACGCGGAGGUGCCGUACGUUCGGCACUCGGUCAUCGGUGAUUUGGAUCACGGCGAGUACGACUCCGUCAUCCACGUUCAUUGGAACGCUUCCGCUCGUGAUCUACAAGGGUAUGUAGAUCCACUCCUUUCCCCUCGUUGCUAGUAGACUCCAUAGAUGCAUCUUGGUGAGCGUAGGAAAAUUUUAAAUUAUGCUACGAUUCCCAACAAUUACAUGUAGGAUCAUAGGAAAAUUCAACAAAAUAGCUAUCACAUAACAUAUUCUCAACACGAUCCACAUGCAUGCGAAGUUGACACUCUUCCAAAAUAGUGGGAUUAUCAUUAACUAAAGUCAUGACCUCUCCAAACCCACUUUUAUCAAAAAUACCAUAAGAUUGAACAUGCUCCAAAUAUGUGGGAUCUAAAGUUGACACUCUUCCAAACCCACUUUCAAUAUUAUUGCAAACACUAUUAUCAAUCUCAUAUUCAUCAUGGGGCUUAAAUAAAUUUUCAAGAUCACAAGAAGAAUCACCCCAAUCAUGAUCAUUGCAACAAGUAGUAGACAUAGCAAAACUAGCAUCCCCAAGCUUAGGAUUUUGCAUAUUAUUAGCACAAUUGACAUCAAGAGAAUUUAUAGUAAAAUCAUUGCAAUCAUGCUUUUUAUUCAAGGAUCUAUCGUGAAUCUCUUCAUAAAUUUCUUCAUCACAAUUUUCAGAUUCACGGAUUUCAAGCAAAACCUCAUAAAGAUAAUCUAGUGCACACAACUCACUAGCAAUUGGUUCAUCAUAAUUGGAUCUCUUAAAAAGAUUAGCAAGGGGAUGAGGAUCCAUAUCAAUAGAUUUUUAGCAAGCACAUAGAAGGCACAUGGCAACACAAGCAAACGAAAAAGACGAACGGAAGAGGGGCGAAGAAAAGGCAAAGGUUUUUGAAAAUCGUUUUAGAAGUGGGGGAGAGGAAAACGAGAGGCGAAUGGCAAAUAAUGUAAUGAGAGGGAGAAGAGUUUGUGAUGGGUACUUGGUAUAUCUUGACUUGAGCAUAGAUCUCCCUGGCAACGGCGCCAGAAAUUCUUCUUGCUACCUCUUGAGCAUGCGUUGGUUUUCCCUUGAAGAGGAAAGGGUGAUGGAGCAAAGUAGUGGAAGUAUUUCCCUCAGUUUUUGAGAACCAAGGUCUCAAUCCAGUAGUAGAUAACACGCAAGUCACCUAGUACCUGCACAAACAAUCAAGAACCUUGGAACCAACGUGAUAAAGGGGUUGUCAAUCCCUUCAGGGUCACUCGCAAAAGUGAGAUCUAAUAAAGAUAGUAAGAUAAAUAUUUUUGGUAUUUUUGUUGUAUAGAUUGGAAAGUAAAGAUUGCAAAAUAGUAAAACGAGAUGUGAUGUAAAUAAAAGAGAUGCAAUAUAAUAAGAAAGAGUCCCGGGGGCCAUAGGUUUCACUAGUGGCUUCUCUCAAGAUAGCAUAUAUUACAGUGGGUGAACAAAUUACUGCCGAGCAAUUGAUAGAAAAGCGCAUAGUUAUGAGAAUAUCUAGGCAUGAUCAUGAAUAUAGGCAUCAUGUCCGUGUCAAGUAGACCGAAACGAUUCUGCAUCUACUACUAUUACUCCACACAUCGACCACUAUCCAGCAUGCAUCUAGAGUGUUAAGUUCAUAAGAACAGAGUAACGCAUUAAGCAAGAUGACAUGAUGUAGAGGGAUAAACUCAAUCAAUAUGAUAUAAACCCCAUCUUUUUAUCCUCGAUGGCAACAAUACAAUACGUGCCUUGCUGCCCCUACUGUCACUGGGAAAGGACACCGCAAGAUUGAACUCAAAGCUAAGCACUUCUCCCAUUGCAAUAAAGAUCAAUCUAGUAGGCUAAACUAAACCGAUAAUUCGAAGAGACUUGCAAAGAUAUCAAAUCAUGCAUAUAAGAAUUCAGAGAAGAACGAAAUAUUAUUCAUAGAUAAACUUGAUCAUAAAUCCACAAUUCAUCAGAUCUCGGCAAACACACCGCAAAACAGUAUUACAUCGAAUAGAUCUCCAAGAACAUCGAGGAGAUCUUUGUAUUGAGAACCAAAGAGAGAGAAGAAGCCAUCUAGCUAAUAACUAUGGACCUGAAGGUCUGUGGUAAACUACUCACACAUCAUCGGAGAGGCUAUGGUGUUGAUGUAUGUAACGCCCACGAUGCGGCUAUACCUCUCACGUGUCGAGGCACGACUUAGAGGCAUAACCGCAUUGUGGUUUUGUCGCAAGAAGGGUCAUCUUCACAAAAUCCCAUGUAAUGAACAAGAAUGGGAUAAAGAGUUGGCUUACAAUCGCCACUUCACACAAUACAUAAAUAAAACAUACAUCAAUCAGAGUACACACAUAGGUCCGACUACGGAACCAAAAGAAAAGAAGACAACCCAACUGCUAGAUCCCCGAUCGUCCCAACUGGGCUCCACUACUGAUCAACAUGAAAAGAAACAACACAACGAAUAAGAUCUUCAUCGAGCUCCCACUUGAGCUCAGUUGCGUCACCUGCACUGGUAUCAUCGGCACCUGCAACUGUUUUGGAAGUAUCUGUGAGUCACGAGGACUCAACAAUCUCACACCCGCGAGAUCAAGACUAUUUAAGCCUAAGGGUAGGAAAGGGGAAGGUGGUGAGGUUGCAGCAGCGACUAAGCAUAUAUGGUGGCUAACAUAUGCAAAUAAGAGCGAGAAGAGGAGCAACGGAACGGUCGUCAACUAGUAAUGAUCAAGAAGUGAUCCUGAACUCCUACUUACGUCAAACAUAACACAAGAACCGUGUUCACUUCCCGGACUCCGCCGAGAAGAGACCAUCACGGCUACACACGCGGUUGAUGCGUUUUAAAGUCGAGUGUCAAGUUCUCUACAGCCGGACAUUAACAAAUUCCCAUCUGCCACAUAGCCGCGGGCACGGCUUUCGAAAGAUAAUACCCUGCAGGGGUGUCCCAACUUAGCCCAUUAUAAGCUCUCACGGUCAACGAAGGAUAAACCUUCUCCCGGGAAGACCCGAUCAGUCUCGGAAUCCCGGUUUACAAGACAUUUCGACAAUGGUAAAACAAGACCAGCAAAGCCGCCCGAUGUGCCGACAAAUCCCGAUAGGAGCUGCACAUAUCUCGUUCUUAGGGCAACACCGGAUGAGACAUCCUACGAGUAAAACCAGACCUCGAGUUUCCACGAGGGGGCCCCGCAGUCUACUCAGUUCGGACCAACACUCGAAGGAGCACUGGCCCGGGGGGGUUAAAAUAAGAUGACCCUUGAGUCUGCAGAACCCAAGGGAAAAGGGGAUAGGUGGUAGCAAAUGGUAAAACCAAGGUUGGGCCUUGUUGGAGGAGUUUUAUUCAAAGCGAACUAUCAAGGGGGUCCCAUAAAUCACCCAACCGCGUAAGGAACGCAAAAUCAAGGAACAUAACACUGGUAUGACGGAAACUAGGGCGGCAAGAGUGGAACAAAACACCAGGCAUAAGGCCGAGCCUUCCACCCUUUACCAAAAUAUAUAGAUGCAUUAAUAUAAUAAGAGCUAUUGUGAUAUCCCAAAAUAUCCAUGUUCCAACAUGGAACCAACUUCAUCUUCACCUACAACUAGCAACGCUAUAAGAAGGGCUGAGCAAAAGCGGUAACUUAGCCAAACAACGGUUUGCUAGGAAAAGAUGGUUAGAGGCUGACAUGGCAAUAUGGGAGGCAUGAAAUAGCAAGUGGUAGGUAGCGCAGCAUGGCAAUAGAACGAACAACUAGCAAAGCAAAGAUAGAAGUGAUUUCAAGGGGUGGUCAUCUUGCCUGAGAUCCCGCUAGGAAGAAGAACGAGUCCAUGAAGAAGACAAACGGACGUAGUCGAACGAAUCCUCAUAACUCCGGAACGAAACCGAAGCUAACAAGAGAAGCAACCCGGAAAGAAACAAACAACAUAGUAAACAACCAUCACAGAAACAUGGCAUGAUGCACACUCAAGUAUGACGCAUGUCCGGUUUAAUGAGCAUGGCAUGACAAAGUGCAACAAACAAUACUACAAAUUAAGUGGAUCUCAAUAUGCAACGAGUUGCAUAUUGACGAAACACCACAUUUAAUUAUUUAUUUCUCUCUCGUUUAUGUACCCAACAAUAUUAAAUGUUAUUAACCAUGAAAAGAGGUGAAGCAUAAGUAAACUACACAUUUAGGCAAGUUUAAAUGAGGCCGGAAAUAAUAAACAACAAUCCCGGAAAAAUCCCCAUAUGCAUAUUUUGGAAUUGGUACUGUUCUGCCUACAACCAUAUUUUAAUGUUGUUAAACAGCAAAAAGAAGUGCACCAAGUUAAACUAGGCAUUUUUCUACCCCAUUUACAUAUAUAAUUUAUUAAAAUCCGAGCUAUGGUUAUUUAGUUAUGAUUUAAGCAUUUUAGCAUAUUAUUCGAGCAAAUUUAAUCAAACAACAUUUUAAACAAUUUUAACAUGGGUGAAAGUGGCAUAUUAUGAAACUACACAAAAUUCUAAGCAUUUUACAUAUUUAGUUUGUUUUAAUCUGAUGCAUGGUUGUGGAGUUAUUAAAUGCAUGAAGUGAAGGGUCUUUCUGUAGAACAGUCAUUCUCUGGAAAAAUGCGAAAAUCACCGCAGCAGAAAAAAAACACUACGGGCCGAAUCUUGCUGCACUGUUGGGCCAACAGAGAGGAGCUGUGGGGAGCUCACCCAUGGGCCAAGCCCAGUCGGUGGAGGAGGCCGGAAGGGGGGCGCUGGGCCUGCUAGCUGGCGGCGCGGUCAACGCGGGCGCUGCCCUCGCUCGAUGCAGAGGAAGCAGACAGGGGAACUUGGCGAAGCGGUGAGGUUCAGGCGGCGAUGGACUUGGCGGGGCGGCCUGGAGGAGCUUUGGUCUCCGGUGAUGGGCGGCGCGACGGAGAGGCUACGCGGGGGAGGCCCGGAUCUGGCGGCAAGCUCCUGGGACGCGCCAGAUCAGAAGAAGAGGAGGGCCUCGACGUGGUCUCUCCGACGAAGCGGCGGCGCGGGGAAGAUCCCGACGACGAUGAGGAGGCAGCAGCAGAGGACGCUUGAGGCAGGACCGGAACCUGCCGGCGUCGACGCGGACGAGCGCAAGUCAGAGGAGGCGGGGAUGGCGCUGCGUCUCUUGCGGCGGCUGCAGCAGAAGCUUGGGGCGCGGCCAUGGCUUGGCGUCGGCGAGGGACGACAGGGAAGGCGGGGGGCCGACCGGAUCCCUGACCAGCGAGCGAGAAGAGGCAGCACCGGCGCGGGUCUCAUCUGCUGGUGAUGCUCGAUGGCGGAGGGAGCUCCGAUGGAGAAGGGGAGCGGGGCGGCUGCGCCGUUGCGGGCGAGGAACUGAGCAAGGCGGCGACGAUGGCUGCUGGAUGGAGACGUGAGGACUGCGGCUGCGGAUGUCGGCGCUCCGGAGCUUGUCGGCGGCGUAGGAACGACGACGGGGCCGAGCAGAGGGAGCGUACAGGAGGGGCUCCAGAAGAAACUCCCCUUCGGGAGCGCGAGGAGAAUUUCCUCUCCUUGGAUCGUGUGCGCUAGGCAGAGCAGGAGGGGGAUCGAGCGCUGCUCCUGGUUGGAUCGGUCGCAACUUCGAGGAGGGGAAGGUGGUGGCUGCUGAUCUGGAGCGGGGGAGAUCCCGAGGAAGAGGAGGAUGGAGGGAGUGGCGGCGGCAGAGAAAGGAUGGAUGGGACAAGCCUCCUAAAAACUAGGGUUAGGCUGUUUAAAUAGCUAGGUGGACUAGCUUAAGGCAAAACGGGCCCUCCGAUCAAAAUUGAACGGUCGAGAAAAAGGUUGUGGAGAGUCCAACAAAGAACACGGUGAUGUUUUGUAGAUGUUUGGGGAUGAUCCGAAUCCAACGGUGACAACAACCCGGGUCGGGUUCGGGGAAGUUCCGGACGCGCGAGAGGGGUCUAUGCACUGCGCAAGGAGGGGUUCGGUGGUUGUGCAGAGAGGAUCAAACGGUCAGACAAGAGAGAAUCGAAAAUCCGGUUAGACUCAGAAUGGUCAACGAACGCAAGGGGGGACGCGGCAACUACGAGCGGAUGCAAGUUUGAAAACAAUGACGGCAACAGAGUGCCGAUGCAAUGCGAAUGAUGCGAUGAUGAAUGCAACAAACAAAUAAAUACACACAACGAUAACGAAAAAGAUGGAAGGCGUCUGGAGCAUCGGUCUCGGGGCGUCACAACACUCCACCACUACAAGAGGAUAUCGUCCCGAGAUCUAGGAUGGCACUGGAGAAAAGCGGAAGAGGAAAAGGUAAAACAAAUUGCUUCUUUGACAAACGAGUGAAACCAAAGAACCUUGAGAGGUUGAAAACUUGAAAGAAGAAUACGACAGAGUUGAACAAAAUUGAGAAGACUCCGGUAGAAAAGAGAAACAAGGAACACCAUGUGAACCUUGUCGUUUGCAAAGCUAUGAAUGACGAGAACAAUGGACGAGAAAUACAAGCAAGCACUCCGGUUGAAACGAGAUGUACAAGGAACGAUAAUGAUCAAUUUCGAUAACGCUCCGGUUGGAAAAUGGAAGGGGUAGAAUAUGAACUUGGCAAAAAGAAAGCACUUGGAUGAGACUCCGGUUAGAAGAGGAAUGAUAGACACAACACUCCGGUUAAAACAAGAUAAAGAAGGAAUGAGAAUGAUGUAAUUUGGGCAGCACUCCGACUGUAAAUGGAAGGAAUUGAACAUGAUCUUGACAAGAUGAGAGGAUACUCGAUGAAAUUAACAACACAUUUUCUCCGGAACUAAUGAAAGAAUGGCACAAGAGGUAAGAAAGAUUUCAGACAGCACUCCGGUUGAGGAAGGAGACAAAACUUGAUAAGAUGAGAGAACUCGAAUGAAAACACGACACGCCGGUUAAAUGGAUAAGUCAGAAAAGAACACGAUCCUCACAAUUCGAGAUGAUGAGCGAAGAGAGCAACAUCACAAAGCCUCCGGAAACAAUGCAUGAUAGUUAGAUAGUUGGAGUGAAUAGAACGAAGAAUGAAACCAACAUCUCCUACCAUAAAUGAAUUUUAAGGAGCAUCCUUGCGAAAUAGGAUUGAACGGAGUUGUUGGAAAACCAACAACGAAAAGAAUAAGCUUGUAGUGGGCUUAUGGGAACAUGCCAACAUUAUGAGGUGACAAACUGCCACUAACGGAAACAAUGAUUGAUUGAAUUGGGAUCAACAAGGAGAUGAAAACUUCUUCACCAAGAGGAUAGGAGAAAACUUGGAUCAUUGAUAAACACCACAAAUAGCUACAUUCCUUAGGGAAGGCUAUAGGUGAAAUAUAACCCAAUACAACUCCAACAAAAAGAUUGAUUGGACGAAAAGAUCUCUUGAACGAAGAGAAAAUGAUGGAUUUAAUUAUCUCAUUCCUGACAACUUGUGAAUCAUGAAACAUGAAGGAAAUUGUCAAAAAUGACAUAACACCAUCCCAAAAGAUAAGGUAGAGAUAAUUGCACUUCGGAAUGCAAGAUGAAGAAUGGUUGGACUCCACAAAACAAAACAUGUGUUGAGCACCAUGUUUAUCUUUGAGUAUAGCUUGGCGGAUCAUAACUUUGAGAGAAAUCUUGAAGAACAAUUGAGAAUGAAAGGAAUCCUUGAUGAGCCACCAUGUUGAUCCUUCGUGAGAACUCCGGUAAUAAAAGGAUGAUAAAAAGAAAGAGAAGUUGACAACACAAGGUGAAACCUUGCAAUGAUUUGGGUGGAGCUUUGAAAUGAUAUAAGCGAGAAAACUUGGAACUCCGGAAAGAAAAGAUGAACAACUUGGAACGAGAAUUUGAUAUCAUGAACGAACUCCAAAAGAAGGGAUUAAACACUUGGAUGAAACAAGAAUAAGAAUUACGUUAUGCGUAUCCUUCACCAAUUUAAAUUGAUGACCAGCAACGGAUCUUGCAUACUACUUAUUCUCGUAGAAAGGAUUAACAUAGAUAUUGCGCAAAGUUGUGAAGGUCUUCAUCGAAACACCGGUAGGAGUGAAACAACGAAUAAAUUGAUAUGAUAACGAGGGAAGAGAAAUCUUGAACGAACCACCGCGAGAAUUGAAAAUGAAAGUAGCAAAGGCACAAUUCAACGGAAAGAAUUAGAAAAUGAAUGAAGAUACUUGACAGAAUUUAGAUACACGAGAACGAAGAGAUCAUGAACUGAUUAGAGGAUAUCUGAGUGAUGCACCGGUAUGAUUUGGAGAACGAGAGCUGAAAGCUUGAAUGAAUAAUUCUGAGGUGAUGGACUCCGAAGAAUCAAACUGAAAAGACUUGUGAAAUGCUCCGGGUGGGUGAAAAUAAUUCUCACAAUCGAAAACAUAUAUGAGAGGAUGGUAUAAGCUAGAACUAUGAAUCUUCAAGAGAAUGGACCAAGAUUUAGGAGAAAUUUUUCUUCGGUCUUCAAAUGUUGAGAAUGAUGAUGAGAAACACCAUCAAGAAUUAUUGAGGCACUCCGGAAUGAAAAAUUGGAAAGGUUGAAACAACGACGAAAAGAAUUUGAAAGAUCUUGGAGAAAGACAUUUGACUGAUGAUAAUUUAUUCUUACAUCAAACUUUGCAAUGAAUUUGAGAAUAACUCCGAAAAAAAAUAGAAGAGUUAGGUAAGAUCCUGGGAAAAAACCUGUGGGUUAGGGCCCACUCAAAAGAAACACCGUUGAAAUGAUUUAAAAGAGAGAUUGCGCUAGUUGAAUUAAAUGAGUUGAAUGAGAUAACAACCUCGAAAUAGCUUGAACGGAUUAGGAAUGAAAACAUGAAUCUCCUGAGGCGUCUUCAGCACUCCGGAACAAUUGAAUAGCACGCGAAGAAUGAUUAAGAGAUAUACCAGCAUGAGAAAGCAUUUGAAAGGAGGAAAGGGCUAUAAUCAACACUGAAAGCUUCAAUUGAAUCCAUCGGAAAAGAAUACGAGAAUGAAGAAUGAUAAACUUGAAGCUCCGUUAGUAUCUUCAUGGGAAAUCACCGGAUAAGAACAUUGAUUGAAAAGAAUGAAGGGACUUCACAUCAAUAAAAAGGAUACUUGAUUAAGAAAUCUGAGUCCUUGUAGAAAAGGGUGGGAGGGCGGGAAAAAACAAAGGCAACUUGGGUCGGAUGAAACGAACACCGUUGAGAAAAAGCUUAGAAUUGAUCUUGCGAAUGUUGGAAUGACUGGAUGCACUUGAAGAGAAAACACGCCGGUUGGAAAGAAUUGGGAUGACAAUCUCGAUGAUCGAGAAGGAUUAACACUCCCAUAGAAAUAUGAGAACACUGUUUAGGGAAGGUAUGGGUCAACACUUGACAAUGAAGCAACUCGAAUACCACAAAUAAAACAAAACAAAGGAUUGGCUUGCGGAAUAAGCCGGAACAAACAUAUGAUAGAGAUUUCGUCCGAAGUUUUUGUGGUGGGGCCCACACGGGCUCGAUCGUACAGCACCAUCAUGUACAAGGCAGUGCACAUGACAUAUGAAGCGUCCCCGAGUCGGCAUAACCAAGGACUCUUUAAGACACUACGAGACCACUGUAAAACCAACCGUGGAAAGGCGGACCACUAGACGUCGAACCCCAAUCUCAUAUCAUGCAUCUGUCGGAAAGAUAUCCUAAGAGCUACUUGAAUUCCCACUUAUAAACUCCCGAAACUUUCUGGUUAUGCAAUCAGGUGUUGGGGAUACAGGGGACACAAAAUAUAUAUCACCCAAACUAACAAUCCCUAGAUCCAGAUAUAUCCAUCCGUCAACACAUAACCAAGAAACCUUCGGAAAUCGUUUACCUCAACCUUCGAAAAGCAUCCGUUAUACGAGUUAUGGCAAUACUCCCGAACUCCCGCCCCAGUACUGGGUGGCGUCGAGGUGAUCUCACCAACAGCUGCAUAAAAGAGAUUUCGAUGUCGGCAAAACUCAGGUAUUCCAGAACUGCAACGAUAAAAUUGUGACGACAACACCUCGGAGCUCAACUCCCCGGGACACUGCCACAACCCCUAAAUGUCAGGAGGCACCAAGAACAAUGUUCUCGUCACAAAACCAUCGGAACGAUUCCAAGAUACCCGCGUGAUCCUAAAUUUUUUUUAGUGAAAUUUGAGGAGAGAAGAGUCAAAACUUCUACGUCAGGAGACCUCACCAGAGCGACGAAGGGACUGAGGAGUAAAAGAAUCCUACUCUCCGAUAUAUAUAAUCCUAAGACUCAAAACAUUUUUGUACUAGACUCAACAACGCCAGCGAUUCGAGCAAGCAGGGGGCUCCUAAGUCGGGGAUGGCUCUGAUUACCAACUUGUAACGCCCACGAUGCGGCUAUAUCUCCCACGUGUCGAGGCACGACUUAGAGGCAUAACCGCAUUGUGGUUUUGUCGCAAGAAGGGUCAUCUUCACACAAUCCCAUGUAAUGAACAAGAAUGGGAUAAAGAGUUGGCUUACAAUCGCCACUUCACACAAUACAUAAAUAAAACAUACAUCAAUCAGAGUACACACAUAGGUCCGACUACGGAACCAAAAGAAAAGAAGACAACCCAACUGCUAGAUCCCCGAUCGUCCCAACUGGGCUCCACUACUGAUCAACAUGAAAAGAAACAACACAACGAACAAGAUCUUCAUCGAGCUCCCACUUGAGCUCAGUUGCGUCACCUGCACUGGUAUCAUCGGCACCUGCAACUGUUUUGGAAGUAUCUGUGAGUCACGAGGACUCAGCAAUCUCACACCCGCGAGAUCAAGACUAUUUAAGCUUAAGGGUAGGAAAGGGGAAGGUGGUGAGGUUGCAGCAGCGACUAAGCAUAUAUGGUGGCUAACAUACGCAAAUAAGAGCGAGAAGAGGAGCAACGGAACGGUCGUCAACUAGUAAUGAUCAAGAAGUGAUCCUGAACUCCUACUUACGUCAAACAUAACACAAGAACCGUGUUCACUUCCCGGACUCCGCCGAAAAGAGACCAUCACAGCUACACACGCGGUUGAUGCGUUUUAAUUAAGUCGAGUGUCAAGUUCUCUACAACCGGACAUUAACAAAUUCCCAUCUGCCACAUAACCGCGGGCACGGCUUUCGAAAGAUAAUACCCUGCAGGGGUGUCCCAACUUAGCCCAUUAUAAGCUCUCACGAUCAAAGAAGGAUAAACCUUCUCCCGGGAAGACCCGAUCAGUCUCGGAAUCCCGGUUUACAAGACAUUUCGACAAUGGUAAAACAAGACCAGCAAAGCCGCCCGAUGUGCCGACAAGUCCCGAUAGGAGCUGCACAUAUCUCGUUCUCAGGGCAACACCGGAUGAGACAUCCUACGAGUAAAACCAGACCUCGAGUUUCCACGAGGGGGCCCCGCAGUCUACUCAGUUCGGACCAACACUCGAAGGAGCACUGGCCCGGGGGGGUUAAAAUAAGAUGACCCUUGAGUCUGCAGAACCCAAGGGAAAAGGGGAUAGGUGGUAGCAAAUGGUAAAACCAAGGUUGGGCCUUGCUGGAGGAGUUUUAUUCAAAGCGAACUGUCAAGGGGGUCCCAUAAAUCACCCAACCGCGUAAGGAACGCAAAAUCAAGGAACAUAACACCGGUAUGACGGAAACUAGGGCGGCAAGAGUGGAACAAAACACCAGGCAUAAGGCCGAGCCUUCCACCCUUUACCAAAAUAUAUAGAUGCAUUAAUAUAAUAAGAGCUAUUGUGAUAUCCCAAAAUAUCCAUGUUCCAACAUGGAACCAACUUCAUCUUCACCUACAACUAGCAACGCUAUAAGAAGGGCUGAGCAAAAGCGGUAACUUAGCCAAACAACGGUUUGCUAGGAAAGGAUGAUUAGAGGCUGACAUGGCAAUAUGGGAGGCAUGAAAUAGCAAGUGGUAGGUAGCGCAGCAUGGCAAUAGAACGAACAACUAGCAAAGCAAAGAUAGAAGUGAUUUCGAGGGGUGGUCAUCUUGCCUGAGAUCCCGCUAGGAAGAAGAACGAGUCCAUGAAGAAGACAAAUGGACAUAGUCGAACGAAUCCUUAUAACUCCGGAACGAAACCGAAGCUAACAAGAGAAGCAACCCGGAAAGAAACAAACAACAUAGUAAACAACCAUCACAGAAACAUGGCAUGAUGCACACUCAAGUAUGAUGCAUGUCCGGUUUAAUGAGCAUGGCAUGACAAAGUGCAACAAACAACACUACAAAUUAAGUGGAGCUCAAUAUGCAACGAGUUGCAUAUUGACGAAACACCACAUUUAAUUAUUUAGUUCUCUCUCGUUUAUGUACCCAACAAUAUUAAAUGUUAUUAACCAUGAAAAGAGGUGAAGCAUAAGUAAACUACACAUUUAGGCAAGUUUAAAUGAGGCCGGAAAUUAUAAACAACAAUCCCGGAAAAAUCCCCAUAUGCAUAUUUUGGAAUUGGUACUGUUCUGCCUACAACCAUAUUUUAAUGUUGUUAAACAGCAAAAAGAAGUGCACCAAGUUAAACUAGGCAUUUUUCUACCCCAUUUACAUAUAUAAUUUAUUAAAAUCCGAGCUACGGUUAUUUAGUUAUGAAUUUAAGCAUUUUAGCAUAUUAUUCGAGCAAAUUUAAUCAAACAACAUUUUAAACAAUUUUAACAUGGGUGAAAGUGGCAUAUUAUUAAACUACACAAAAUUCUAAGCAUUUUACAUAUUUAGUUUGUUUUAAUCCGAUGCACGUUUGUGGAGUUAUUAAAUGCAUGAAGUGCAAGGGUCUUUCUAUAAAACAGUCGUUCUUUGGAAAAAAUGCGAAAAUCACCGCAGCAGAAAAAAACACUACGGGCCGAAUCUUGCUGCACUGUUGGGCCAACAGAGAGGAGCUGUGGGGAGCUCACCCAUGGGCCAAGCCCAGUCGGUGGAGGAGGCCGGAAGGGGGGCGCUGGGCCUGCUAGCUGGCGGCGCGGUCAACGCGGGCGCUGCCCUCGCUCGAUGCAGAGGAAGCAGACAGGGGAACUUGGCGAAGCAGUGAGGUUCAGGCGGCGAUGGACUUGGCGGGGCGUCCUGGAGGAGCUUUGGUCUCCGGUGACGGGCGGCGCGACGGAGAGGCUACGCAGGGGAGGCCCGGAUCUGGCGGCAAGCUCCUGGGAUGCGCCAGAUCAGAAGAAGAGGAGGGCCUCGGCGUGGUCUCUCCGACGAAGCGGCGGCGGGGGGAAGAUCCCGACGACGAUGAGGAGGCAGCAGCAGAGGACGCUUGAGGCAGGACCGGAACCUGCCGGCGUCGACGCGGACGAGCGCAAGUCAGAGGAGGCGGGGAUGGCGCUGCGUCUCUUGCGGCGGCUGCAGCAGAAGCUUGGGGCGCGGCCAUGGCUUGGCGUCGGCGAGGGACGGCAGGGAAGGCGAGGGACAACCGGAUCCUUGAUCGGCGAGCGAGAAGAGGCAGCACCGGCGCGGGUCUCAUCUGCUGGUGAUGCUCGAUGGCGGAGGGAGCUCCGGUGGAGAAGGGGAGCGGGGCGGCUGCGCCGUUGCGGGCGACGAACUGAGCAAGGCGGCGACGAUGGCUGCUGGAUGGAGACGCGAGGGCUGCGGCUGCGGAUGUCGGCGCUCCGGAGCUUGUCGGCGGCGUAGGAACAACGACGGGGCCGAGCAGAGGGAGCGUACAGGAGGGGCUCCAGAAGAAACUCCCCUUCGGGAGCGCGAGGAGAAUUUCCUCUCCUUGGAUCGUGUGCGCUAGGCAGAGCAGGAGGGGGAUCGAGCGCUGCUCCUGGUUGGAUCGGUCGCAACUUCGAGGAGGGGAAGGUGGUGGCUGCUGAUCUGGAGCGGGGGAGAUCCCGAGGAAGAGGAGGAUGGAGGGAGUGGCGGCGGCAGAGAAAGGAUGGAUGGGACAAGCCUCCUAAAAACUAGGGUUAGGCUGUUUAAAUAGCUAGGUGGACUAGCUUAAGGCAAAACGGGCCCUCCGAUCAAAAUUGAACGGUCGAGAAAAAGGCUGUGGAGAGUCCAACAAAGAACAUGGUGAUGUUUUGUAGAUGUUUGGGGAUGAUCCAAAUCCAACGGUGACAACAACCCGGGUCGGGUUCGGGGAAGUUCCGGACACGCGAGAGGGGUCUAUGCACUGCGCAAGGAGGGGUUCGGUGGUUGUGCAGAGAGGGUCAAACGGUCAGACAAGAGAGAAUCGAAAAUCCGGUUAGACUCAGAAUGGUCAACGAACGCAAGGGGGGACGCAGCAACUACGAGCGGAUGCAAGUUUGAAAACAAUGACGGCAAUAGAGUGCCGAUGCAAUGCGAAUGAUGCGAUGAUGAAUGCAACAAACAAAUAAAUACACACAACGAUAACGAAAAAGAUGGAAGGCGUCUGGAGCAUCGGUCUCGGGGCGUCACAAUGUAUAAGCCCUCCGUGAUCAAUUCCCGCUCCGGCAGAUCGCCGGAAAAGGCCCCAAGAUGGGAUCUCACGGGUAUAGAAGGUUGCGGCGGUGGAAAAGUGGUUUUGUGGCUCCCCCUGAUGUUUUUAGGGUAUAAGAGUAUAUAUAUAGGUGAAAGAAGUACGUCGGUGGAGCUCCGUGGGGCCCACGAGGGUGGGGGCGCGCCUACCCCCUAGGCGCGCCCUCCUGCCUCGUGGCCGCCUCACGGAGUUCCAUACUUCAACUCCAAGUCUUCUGGAUUGCGUUUGUUCCAAGAAAGAUCAUCGCAAAGGUUUCAUUCCGUUUGGAUUCCGUUUGGUAUUCCUUUUGUGCAAAACACUGAAAUAGGCAAAAAAAUCAGAAACUGGCACUGGGCCUUCGGUUAAUAGGUUAGUCACAAAAAUAAUAUAAAAGAGCAUAUUAAAGCCCAUUAAACAUCCAAAACAGAUAAUAUAAUAGCAUGGAACAAUCAAAAAUUAUAGAUACGUUGGAGACGUAUCAGGUAGUUAUGCCAUUUAGGAGGAAAGUAAGCUAAGUAUGCAUUUGUUAAGCAAAACACUAGAGAAAACUUACCCUCAUCACAACAAAUGCGAUGAAGAUCACAACUAAGGUAAAGAUUGAUCCAACGGCAUAAUGAUACCAAGCCUCAUUAUCAAUGGCAUAUUUUCUAAUCUUCUUAAGCUUCAGGCGCAUUCCAUCCAUCUUCAAGCGCAUUGCAUUCAUCUUCAUCUUGUGAUCAUCGACGACAUCGACAACAUACAACUCCAAUGUCAUCUUCUCUUCUUCAAUUCUUUUAAUUUUUUCUUUCAAAUACUCAUUUUUUUAACUAAAUUUAACUUCUCGAUAAGAGGGUCGGUUUCAAAUUCCGGUUCACAUACCUCCUAGAUUAAAAUAUCUCUAUGUCAACUUGAUGGCCAUAAUUGUCAUAAAUGAGAACUACAACAAAUAGUUAUGAAAGAAAAUUUACCACAUCUGAAUCAUAAAGCGGGUGAGGGCCGACGGGGACGGACAUCAAGACCAUGGCACUAUGUAUAAGAAACAAUCAUACAAAGUAAGAAAAAUACACAAGUAACUAUAUAAAUCAUACAAUCAUACAAGUAACUAUAUAAAUCAAGUACAACAUAAAAAAUUGAAUACCUAGUCAUAAUCUGGUUCAAUAAAUGCUUCGAGAUCAAUAAAUGCAUCAGUAAUGACGUGCUCAUCAUCAUCAUUAAUAAAUGCAUCAUCAUCAUGUGGAAGGCCACCUCUACGUAAUCUGUCAAGCAUUGACAGGUCAUCCGCAGCAGUAACCUCUUCUUGUUCAGGCUCUUCUUGUUCUGGCUGAGGGGUGAAGUCGGGUUCACUGUCGCUGUCUCCUUCAAUGUUCUGGGGUGAAGUAGAGCGGUUCUUGAAACGUUUUUUGGAAAGACGCGUUUCUUGGAAGAAUUCUCCUUCAUAUGUGUCUAGGUUAAUGUGAGGUGCAUAAUCAUCUUCAUUGGGGGGAGGUGGUCUAACACGUGGCGGCACUUCAUAAACGACAUCCCAACCUUUGAGAUUAGGAGCACUUUGACAGGCCCACGGUGGAUAGAAAACUUGGGUUGCCUGUUGAGCCAUAAUAUAGAUAUCAGGAACAUCCAAAUGGGUGCUUUGAUUGAUUUCCACUAGCCCUAUAUGUUCAUGAGUCCUUCUAGUCUCCUUUGGUUGGAACCAAUAACAUUUCAAGACUACGACGUUUGGUGGGUUUGCACCAUAGAAUUGAAGUUCAUAAAUUGCUUCAACUCUUCCAUAAUACUCGGUAUCUCCUUCGCCAAUAGUAGAGAUACAACAAUUUGUAGACUUUCGGUCGGCCAUAGAUAGCUCUUUGCCAUAGGUACGAAAGCGAUACCCGUUGAUGUCGUAUUUGUCAAAUGAACGGACCUUAUAGUCAAAACCAUUAGCGACUUAUCUCAAUUCGGCGUCCAUAAGCUCUGAAUUAGCCUACAAGUUUAAUACGAAAGGGAUUAUUGCAUUAGCCAUAAAUUAGACGAAGAAAUGAAAUUGUCUAAUGGAAAUUACCGUUUGUUUGAACCAAGAGAUGAAACCGGGAUAGCCACGUCCAUGCUUUGCCAGAAGCUCAUACUCUUCGACAGAAUCCUUUUCGAUCACCGCUCCAUACGAGAGAAUAUAGCGACGUAUCGACUGUAUCAAAUUUAUCCGGGAAUAAGAGCAGUUCAAAGGAAUUAGAAGUUGCGAAACAAUGUACCGAGAACUUACUCGAUGUACGGCCGCACUUCUGUUAGGUUGGUGAAGAUAUACAAUGAAAUGAUCUGCCAUUCUUCAAAAUCCAACGUUAAGGAAUUAGAAGCACCGACUGGUGCGAGAUCCCCUUUGAAUAGGCUGAGGUUGGUGUUGGGGAACGUAGUAAUUUCAAAAAAAAUCCUACGCACACGCAAGAUCAUGGUGAUGCAUAGCAACGAGAGGGGAGAGUGUUGUCCACGUACCCUCGUAGACCGAAAGCGGAAGCGUUAGCACAACGCGGUUGAUGUAGUCGUACGUCUUCACGAUCCGACCGAUCAAGUACCGGACACACGGCACCUCCGAGUUCAGCACACGUUCAGCUCGAUGACGUCCCUCGAACUCCGAUCCAGCCGAGCUUUGAGGGAGAGUUCCGUCAGCACGACGGGAUGGUGACGAUGAUGAUGUUCUACCAACGCAGGGCUUUGCCUAAGCACCGCUACGAUAUUAUCAAGGUGGAUUAUGGUGGAGAGGGGCACCGCACACGCACUACAAAAAAAAUACACUUCCGUGAUGAUACGUGUUUGUCACAGUAGGUCGCGUUUUUGUCAUGCAUGUACAUCCAUGACAAAUUUAUGACAGAAUCAAGAUAGUCAUACCUGUGCUGUCAUAGAAGUGUUCCAUGACAUUUCCAAAAUUAUCAUCACGGAAGUGUCCACUUCCAUGACGAUAAAUCGCACGUCACAGAAGUGCUUUCGUCAAGGGUGACCGAAACGUGGCAUCCACCGUAACGGAACACAGUUAAGCUAUCGGGUCGGGUUUUGGAUCCGAUAACCCGUUAACAGCCCCGACCAAUGGAGAUUUUCCACGUGUAAAAUCAUCAUUGGCUGGAGGAGACACGUGUCAGGUCCACGUUGGCACAGGUGUCACUCAUCCAAUGGGCGAGACGGGUCUAUGAUAUGUUGACACGUGGACCGGCCCAUCAAGUUUAAAUGGGCCAGCCCAACUGAAGGCCCACAAGAUUUUGUGGACCAUAAUGGGCUGGCCCAGCUAAAGGCCCACGAGAUUUUGCGGACCAUAAUGGGCUGGCCCUGCUAAAGGCCCACAAGAUUUUGCGGGCCAUAAUGGGCCGGCCCAGGUAAAGGCCCGCAAGAUUUUUGUGUGCCAUAAUGGGCCGGCCUAGGUAAAGGCCCACAAGAUUCUUGCGGAUCAUAAUGGGCCGGCCCAGCUAAAGGCCCACGAGAUUUCGCCGACAUUAACGGGCCGGCCCAGUUGUAGGUCCACAAGAUUUUGAGGACCCUAGUAGGCCGGCCCAUUAACUGGCUGUCAUGUUUUGGGCCAAAUGCCGACCCAUAUUUGAUCCGGUCCAUUAAUGGCCUGCCACGCUCUGGGCCUAAUAGUGGCCCAUACGAGAUCCGGCCCGUUAAAAGCCUACCACGUUCUGGGCCAAAUUACGGCCCAGAUCAGGUCCGACCCUUUAAGAGGCUUUGGGCUCAAUUAUGGCCCAUAUCAGAUUCGGCCCGUCAACUGGACACUAUGCUUUUGGGCCCACUUGCUAAAGGCCCACUUAGUAAUUCGGCCUGAUAUUAGUUUUGGCCUGUUAAGGGCCUGUUUAACAUUUUGACCCUAUAUUAAUUUCGGCCUAUUAAAAGCCCGUCAUAUAGUUGGGCCUAACUACGGCCCGGUUUGCAUCCGGCCUGCUCGCAGCCAAUAUCUGAUUGGGCCAAACAAGGACCAAGACAAUUUUGGCCUGUUAAAAGCCCGUGAUUUGAUUCGCACAAUCAUGGGCCGGGGUUCAUUUCGGGCUGCUGCCGGCCCGUGAGCUGUUCGGCACGUUUCAGGCCCAACCUACAUCGUGAUUGCAUGACGGCCCGAUUAUGUACCGUAUUUUUAUGGUUUGGCCAGUUUACUGCGAAGACAGGAUAUAUAUACAGUAAAAUAACUGCAGCAUCGUGAAUAAGAAAAAACCUAGACUAUACAAUAAAGAAAUUACGGCAUAUUACAUCCACUGGGCAUCAAAGUUCGCCACUAUGAUAAUAAAGCACAAGCAAACAGCAGAUUACAUACACUGGGCAUCAAAGAUCGCCACCAGUGCAAAUAAACACACCGACAAAAUAAUAUACAAAACCGACAGCACUUCAAUAGAGUUCAAGAAAGGUUAGCCCUGCUGGGGAGCUGCAGCGCAAGCAGCCGAGCAAGAUGAUGAGACUGCGCUUGUUCAACACUUAUAUCUUCCUCACUCUGAAAGAUAAACAAGCAGACAGAUGACAGGUUUUGCACAUAAAAGUAUCAGUGCUGACAAUUCAUCACAUUUCUUACUGAUGAAUAAAGUGACACAGUUUAAAAUUGCAUUAACACAAUAUGGUAUUGUUCAGGUCAAGACAUGGCAGGAAAUGACAUUGUGAAGGAGUUGGCAGCUUCACGACACCACUGGAUUAUAGAUCAAGAACUCAUAAGUAUCAAUGGUUAGUGUGCUGUCAAUUUAUACCAUUUCAGAUUGGCAAAUAAAGAGAUGGUUUAAAUAAUAGUAGAAUGAUAUGACAUUGUUCAUAGUUAAGACAUUGCAGAAUAUGACAUUGUGCUGUAGUGGGUAGGUUCACCACACCACUGCAUUACGGAUGAAGAACAGAAGCAUACAUGCAGUGCAAAAGAAGAUCACUUGCUCUAUAUAGUUUAAUUUACAUGGUAUGAAGAAGGAACUUGGUUGUACAACUGAAAACUUAAAUUGAGAAAGGACAAACUUUUGUUUAUGAACUACAUAAUAAACUUUAAACAAGCAAUUUGAUGCAAACACCAAAAAUAAACAGCUGUUGCAGUCAUGCCUAACCAAAUAUAUACAACAAAGUUUGAAGGCUUGAGAUGGACAAACUUACAUUAUUGGUGAAGACAAGCUCUAUAAAGGCCUUGUCCAUGCUGAUGGGGGGCAAUUCAAGAAGUUUACCACAGAAUCUUCUUCAAAAGCAUUGCCUUUAUUCUACAUUUUGUUAAGAGUAAAUAUAGAUGUGAUAAUAUACGGAAAAAUGGAGAAUAUUUAAGAUAAGAUGAAGAGUGAUGCCACAUAACCAAGUAGCUAUAAAUGUAAGUGCAGCGAUACAGGCAAAAGGUACAGCCAAGAGCAAUGCACAGCUAAACUUCUUCAGUACCAACCUUAUGGUAAGAGUAAAUAUAGAUCUGAUGUGUAGAAAAUGGAGGGCAAAGGAAAAUAAGCUGCAGAGUGAUGGUACAUGAACAACUACCUGUCAUUAUAAGUACACUGAUAAAGGACAGCAUGUACUUACAAGAACAAUGCAGAGCUAAAAAACAUUGGCAUUGGAUAUAUUCUACACUAAUGUAACCAUUCAUACAGAUCAGAUAAUUUGGAGCGAACAAUUGAUAAGCAAGCUAUCAUGCAUACUGCUGUCACAUAAUGAACUAGGUAUGUAUGCAAGUACAGUGAUACAGGACAACAGGUACUAACAAGAGCAAAGCAGUGGGCAGCAUAUUUGCGAUAUCUUGUCGUUCUUGUCAAACCGGAAUUCUUCUUCGAGCAGAUUUCCUGCAAAAAAGAUCCGUAAGGCACAUGCGGAAAAGUAGAAGUUCAAAUUGUCAUGUGAUUUCAUAGACAGUACCUCAUCCUGGGAACGAGACCAGUGCGUAACAAGGUUUUUCCAUUCAAUGUCUUCUAAAUUUAGCACAGGAGACUUCACCGGAAAUUCGUUUAUAGACUUGCCAUCAAAGUGUGAUUUCCUCAGGUAACACUGAUACUGCUGCAAUGCUUCCUUGAAAAGCACAAGCAAGCUUUGCUCGUCAUGACUAUCCAUAUUGACCCUCGCCUAGUUAAAACAAUGUAAUGUAAAUCAUUGAUGUCUUCAAUCAGCAGAAAACAGGAAAAUAAUAACCAUGAAUAAUAGCACUUACACGUAAGUUGGACAGGAAGAUGUGAAAAUGGUGUUUGUCUUCACAAUAAUCUUCCCAUGAUGGGAAUAUAUGCACGUAGUCCCUAAAAAUAUUGAAAGCAUUGUCUUUUAAACUGGGAAUAAAUGGAAUGGGGUUCCAAUCUGCAAGAAUUGGCCGUCUCUGCAGUUGGGAUAGGUCUUCGGCUGGUGGACUUGUUGUACUUUUUGCUGGAGUGGGAUUUCUCUGUGGUACAGCUGGUGCUAUGGCAAAUGAAAUCGGUAUACCUUUUGCUGGAGUGCAGGUCCCGUGUGGUGGGGCUAGUGGUGUGGCCAGUGAAGUAUGGGUACAGUCUGCUGGAGUCGGUCCUACGUUUUGUGUCACUGGUUGUACAACCAAUAUAAGUGGGGUGCUGUCUGAUUUCUCCGGCACCACCACGUUUUUCAAGGACUUUGCUGGUGCUCCUUCAGGUUCGGCAAUCACCCUCUUCCUUUUUGAUGUCUGAUGCACAAGAACAUCAUUUGAGUGGAAAAACAUGGUAUGAUGACAGAUGGAAUAUGUAUUGAUAAUGGAUGGGCAUGGCAUCUCGACAUAUAUGAUGAGUAAACUAAGCAAAUGGCGGUGCAACAAAGUAGAAAAAAUGCAAGACAACAUAUGCAAGAUACCCGCAAUCAAUAAAACAUUGCCAAAUUAGAAUAGGCACCUUGAUGGGUGAACAGGACAGGCCAUUUGCCUUUGACUCCUCGAGGUUAGAAUAGUCAUUAGGAUCAUAUUCUGAACAAGAAUCAACAGGUGGGGAGCGUAUGAGUUUCAUUGCAUCCAGAAUGGCACUCAAUGCCUUGGUGCCAAUUUUCUAAGUCAUUGCUGUGUUUAGCUUCAAGACCGGACUGCUGCUAGUGCGACACAAAGCAGCUACACAGAUCAUAGUGUAGAUAUAACGGGAAAACCUUAAGCAUCAGAGUAAAAUCAGCAAAGUGGAACUUGCUGGAAUAUAUGUGCUAGUAUUGCCGGUACGGCUAGAAAGGCUUCGGAUACCAGCUCUCUUCAAGUGAAGGUGCGGUACUGUUAAUAUCAGUGUAACUCUCAAAGGCGACACAGCUCCCCGCAUUUCCUUGCUAUUCUUAUAGGAUUCAAGUGGGCAGGCCACUACAAAUCCUAUUCCUAUGUUUACAAGAUCCUACGAAUCAAAGAGGCUCAAAGUGUCCAUCACAACCGACCGUAUAGACAUCUACACUACAAAUGUCCCUGCUCAUCUUCAGUACAAGGAACAUACUGUACUACUAUCAUACUCCCUCCGUUCCAAAAUAUAAGUCUUGGUAGAGAUUUCCACUAUGGAUCACAUACAGAUGUAUCCAGAUACAUUUUAGAGUGUAGAUUCACUCAUUUUGCUCCAUAUGUAGUCCAUGGUGGAAUCUAUACAAAGACUUGUAUUUAGGAACGGAGAGAGUACAUAUUAAAGAAGAACGGAAGAGGGACAUGGUAAAGAAGAGCAAGCAGAUUUUGGAUAAUAAAAUGUUGGUUGCGCAGUGCCCACACAUGAUGAACCAGAGCGCAUUAAGAAUGCAACUCCCAGCUGUCUCUCGACCAUUUCAGGCGGUUGGAUGAAGAUCCUACAUCUCCUAACCCUUCUUCUUCCUCGUCUCUGAUUCUUCCCAUACAGAACACCGCACGGGCCGCCGGCCGGACCACCGGCCCCCACCGCCUGUGUUCCUUCGCCAUCCCCACCCCCACCCCCGCCCCAACCCCCACCCGCGUCGAGUUUUCUUCGUUUGGCGAGGUCCCACAACCACCCGAGCCCCUUCGAUCGCACCGGCGAACUCCGGCGAGCUCUGAAAAAUCGACUGACCCAAUUUUGAAAUUUAGUCUACUGUGAUUUAACUAGUGUGGAAUAUAAAAAGGGAAAACCAUAAGCAUUGGGAGUAUAGUGUUGAGCGUGCCAUGGCGGAUCUGAAGGUGCAAACCGGACAAAGGCAACUUCGCAACCAAGACAAGAAAUCAGAGUAAAGCAGUGGCGACCUAUUUUCUUGCUGCGAUAAAUAAGUUGAGCAGAUACGAAAGAGUACCGUCUCUGGUGCCGCAUCUGCUGAGAAUUUGACGGUGCUGCGGUAGCGAUGGCUGUCGGCGGUGUGGAAGCAGAUCUAGGAGGGUAGACGGUGGCGGCGGGGCGCGGUGGAUGAGACGGUCGUAGGAGCGACACCGGCAAGGUGGACGACGGCGGGGAUGAAGCGAGAGGACGGGAUGCAAGGAUCCCGGUCCGAAGCCGUGGAUGAGAGAGGUCGAUCUCUUGUAAUGGACGGCGGCGUCGGGGUAUCAGCUCCGGCAUGGUGGAGGAGGACGACGGUGGAUGGGGUUGCGGACGGCGGCGGACAGAGGAGGGUGGGGUGGAGAGGGUGUUUUGGCGCCCACGGAGUACGAAUGGGGAAAAGGGAGGUAGAGAGGAAGGGGGGAACCAUGUAUUCAGGGCGCGCUUGUCUCAAAUGCGAGGAAAUUUACAAACUUAGCCCCCGUUUCAAAUUUCUACUACAUCACAGCAACAUUAAUCGGUUGGGGAUAGGACGGUAAUCUCGCAUACACCGAAUAUUUGCCGACGAGAGUUUGUUUUUGGCGCCCACCGUGUAUGAAUAUGAAUCGGGGAGGGAGUCGAUUUCGGCCGAGGACACACUGUGUUUUGGCGCCCACCGUGUAUGAAUCCGGGUGAGAGGCGGUUACGUCAUGUUUGGGUGAAAUUACAAACCUACCCCUAUCGAAACCUAUAGAAAUCCAGCAGAUAGGCUUUGCGUGGCAGGGAUAGGCAGUAGUGAUUUCCAUCUCGCAGAUUUUGGUUUCGGGCGGUUACUGCGACUUUCCCCGCUUCGUUCAAUUUUGCAGAGUGCACGUUUACCGUGCCAACUCAAUUCGAAUCCCGUUUGUAUUCUUUUUUUUUCGGGCGGGAUCUAUUUUCAAUUGGAAUUACAUUCUAUAUACAUCAUUUUUUAUAUAUACUUUCAAAAGCACAACAAAGAAUUAUGCUCCUUUAUAUGUAUAAUAUGAUUUACAAAUACAACGAUCUCGAAAUCUUAAGGUUGAAUUCAAAAAAAUUUAACCAAAUUAUGUUCUACUAAAAUGUAUGGAUGAGUAAUAUCUACAUAUUAAAUAACAUAGAUGUGCGUGAAUUCAUAUGAGUAUGCAUGUUUGAUAAAUCAAUUUUGGUUCGAGUAUGGAUUACAUGUAUCAUCAUCUCGAAUUCAAAUAUUUGAAUCCCAUUUUUGUUCACUCCUUUGACGCCCAUCUCUCUAGCAUGCAUGCUCCUUCAGGUAGCUAUCACUCUCUUUUCUCCAGCUCACCCGCACGCUCACUUCAUGUUUCUCCUAUCCUCGCAAACAUGGUCUCUCGACGUCUCCCUUGAGAAGUGUCACACUCUCCCUAUCAUUAUACAUUACACGGUUUUCAUUAUCUCUCACGUCUCUACUGUUCUCUGGUAUCACUCGGUACCUAAGCUUUCUUUUUCACCGCCACACACACAGUCUCCACUCGUCUUUCACUUUAUCUUUCUCUCUAUGGGAUUCUCUCACACACCCUUAUGUCUCUACAUAUGACUCAUACCACUAAAAUUACUCUCUCUUUCUCUCUCCUGUAGACACAACAUUUAUUGCGGUCUCCUUUUCGUCUCCAUCCCAGACUGACAUUAUUCAUUUGUUUACCGAUCAGACAACCCUGACUGCCGUCUCCUCUCUCUCUCACACAGACACACACACACAACUCCUGCUUCCAUUCCCCUUCCCGACUACCGUCUCUCUCUCACACACACAAAACUCUCGCUUUCGCACCCCGACUCGUAUUUCUCUCACAAACAUUUAUCGACUAGCUAGCCUCUAGAUAGGUUUAUACACCCGCACACUCGUGCUUCCACCAUCACAUAUAUGUCUCUCUCCCGCUCCUUGUAUCUAUGUAGAUUUUUCUUCCCUUCUUGAGACACACCCUCUCGAUCAUGCACACACACACUAUCGCCUCAUUUUAAGCUGAUACCUAUCGCACACACACUCCUUGUGUCUUUCUCACACAUGCACUCCGUCCUCCUCCACUCUCCCUCUCUCUCUCACACACAUGGGAUUUUUGCAACAACUAGCAAGAUGCCCAUGCGUUGCACGGAACAUCAAGAUGCAUUUGUAUGAGUAGUUUAUCUUGUGGGGGAAAAGGAUGAACGAGGGAAGGCCUUAUUUGCAAAUGUGGAGAGGGGUGUGGGUAUCUUUUUGCAAAAUUGCCAUAGCUUCCUUCCUAUCCGUCAGAUAUAGAUCGGACGGCCUAUAUUUCAGGAUGGCAGGCACACGAUCAUCACCGACAAUGCUUUUUAUAAGAGUAGGGAUAAAAAAUAGAGUUGGUGAUGAUGGUGGGCCUGCCAUCCUGCAAUGUAGGUCGUCCGAUUUAUAUCUGACGGAUAGGAAGGAAAAUAUGGCAAUUUACCCGCACUCUUCACCACAUUUGCAGAUAAGGCCUUCCCUCGUUCAUCCUUUUCUCCCACAAGAUCUUGAUGUUCCGUGCAACGGACGGGCAUCUUGCUAGUAAGAGUGGAAAUUAGACAUAUACCACUUCUCGAAUCUUGAAACCAACAACAUUCCUCCCUUAUCUCAUCAAAACCGCCAAAGGAAUAUAUUUUGAGUGAAACAUAACAUAUUUUUAGUGAUAUACGUAUAUCAAAACUAGACUUUUUUUCUAUCAAAUCGGUGAAUAUGUAUUAAUCUACUUUAAUCGUGUGGCAACGCAUUGGCACAUUGCUAGUAGUUAUUAUAAUUUUUUGGACACCAGACAAACGGUGGAGUACAUAUACGAAGAGAAGAGGCGCAUGCACGCAGUGGGCCUCUCGCUGUCUCGCACACAUGAGUGUUACAUAAAGGCGACGUUAACAAAUAAACCCUAAAACCCUAGGUGCACGAUUGCUGCAUUCACGGGUACCGGGUACGUGGUGGAGCACCUUUGUAGGAAUAGUCAGCUCGCGUGAUAAUUUGAUCCGUAAGAGUUGAUGGUCGGGACCACAGGUGAACGACUUGGAGCGCGGUGGCUCGCCAGUUGCCACAGAUCGAGUAGCCACGUUUAAAAUAUCGUUUUUUUAGCGGGGUUAAGAGUUCCGAUUUCAAUGGCGCGUUAUAAGUAGUAAGUAGUUUUUAGAACGAUUGGUAUGGAGCGAAAAUGGAAUUCAUAGUACUACGUACCUCCUUGGCGUAUGGUUGUAUGGUUUUUUUUGCGAUGGAGGUUGUAUGGGUUUAUGUUGCGAGAUGUUGAACCUGGUAGUUCUAGGGCAAAUACUAUGGUUUAGAUUUAGAUGCUGGUUUUCAGUAAUGAAAAUCGGAAGGGGAAACCCUUCUUUGAUUAAAAAAACUACUACCUCCAUUCUGGUUUACUAGUCCCCAUCGUACUUUGGGUCAAAGUUUGUCCACGAAUUUUACUUGUAAAAUGUGAAUGGAAAACGAGAUUUUGUUAUACCCAAACAAAAAAGGACUGGAGGGAGUGAUUGCUCUGACACGGACGUGACCUCUCAUAGUGCAGGCAUUGAACCGGCGCGCCGGCCAAGAGGGCCGCACUCGCUGCAGGCCCGACUGAGCACGCCUCCUCGCCGCAUGCAACCAGCUUAAGACUGCCCCGCCUGCCUUCAUUGAAUCCGUGCGUGUGCCGGCAACACGUCCUUCCGUGAGCCGGCAGGCAUUUUAGAACACAAAAAAUGACUAAAAUAUAAUUAAUUUACGCAUGGUCUUGACUUGUUGUGCUCGCACUGGUAGCAGGAACUAGUAGAGGAUUUUCUUUAUUUAUAACUCUCCUCACAUUUUUUUGGCUUUGAAGUGAAUCAUGGUUGUGGACAUUAUGUAUGAAUGUGCAGAUAUCUGUGAACAUGAGUUUGAUGUGGAAGUUGAACUUGGAAUGUCGGGCUUGUGCGUGAACUAUACCAUGUCCAAUGCUUCGUCUGUUAUUGUUUGGAAAGUAAUUGCUGUUAUUACAUGACCCGAAAAAUUUUUUGUGCCACAUCAGUAGAUGCACGGACAUCACAACAGGCAUGCUGACUGGAUAAACAUUUGAACCUAGCUAUUAUGAAGGAAAUUUUGUAUUGACAACAGUUUUAGAUAGCAGGAGACGCCUAGCCUGCUCUGCCUCUGCUAGCUUAUUUCUGGCUUCUUCCAUCUCUUCUUUGGCUUGGGUGAAGAGAGCAUCUGAUUGCUCUUUUCGCUUCUUCAGGAACUCAGCUACAUUCUCAAGGGCUGCUGCACGCUUUCUUUCAGCCUUUACUAAUGCCACGAGGACACAAAAAGCUGACGACUCCACCUGGCUUGUGUGUAAUCCAGCAUCAUCUGGGAAUUUGCACCUUGUGUCUAAUCCAGCAUCAUUAGGGAACUGGCACCUUGUGUGUAAUCCAGCCUCAUUUUGGAAACAUGAUCUCGAGGUUGACCAUACUUCCCUCCUCGCAGGAACUGCAUCCUGACAUGAAGUUACUUCUUUUUUAGAUCAAUACUCAGAGCAACCUAGAUCCAUUUAGUAGAAGCCAGAUAAACAGAACUCGGAGAAGUGAAUUCAAAAGGAAAAAAAUAAAAACAGACUACAAGGUGAGAACACCCACUUCCUACAUCAAGCUAAAAAUGAAAGCAUUAGGACGAUUAAGACUCUUCUUAUUACACAUCGAAGAACACCACGCUUAAGAGAAACAGAAACUACAACAUAUACACAUCGAAGAACACGAGGCUACACGAAAGUAAUUGAAAGGGUAUUACUUACCAAAGCUCAUUUUAAAGGUUCGGUGCAGCUCCUCUUUAACUUGCCACGCUCCUUGAAGAUGUCCCGAAUAUCCCGUGUUUGGUCUUCAUUGCUCCUCUGCAUGUUCGCACUCGUGGUUUUAAAAUCUCAACAUGGCAAGAAAAAUAUACUACUAGUAAUACUCGCGCAUCUUGUGGGCAACAUUAAAGCACUCGUCUGCCAUGUUAGAGCAUCUCCAACAGAAUCGCAACACGCGGCGCUUUAAAAAAGCGUUUACAGUGCUGAGAUCGAGAAGUAGAUACUAGAGAGUAGAGGAUAGUUCUCAGCAUAGAUAGAUAAAAAAAAGAUAAUUCAACUACUCCUCGUCGUCCGACUCCUCCUCAGUGAUGUCCUCCUCCGACGUCUGACUGUAGGCGUGAAGAUACCGAUCCUCAUCGGAUUCCCAGGGCGACGCUGCUCCUAGCCUCAUGUUGAAUUGGGCGUCCGCUUUUCGCCUACGCUUGUCCUCGCGAUAGGCGGCUUGCUCCGCCCUCCUCUUAUCCCUCUCCACCCUCCUUUGCGCGUAGAACUCGCGCUCGUUGAUGAUGUCCUGCGGAAAGUGUUGGCGCCACAGCGCCCUAACCGCGGCAGAGGCGCGAGCUCCUGCGCCCGCUCCCGCGUCGGCACAUUGGGGAAGUUCAAUGUUCUAUGAGGCCACCGGAGGCGCCACACCGCCGCGUCGUACGCGCGGGCAGCCUCGUUGGCGGUGUCGAAAUUGCCGAGGCCGAGGCGCAUCCCGCGGAACCGGAUCUCGGCGGAGAAGCCACCGGAAGGGCACGCGCGGAUGCCACGGUAUCCCCAAGUUUCCCGGCGACGCGGCGGCAUGGUGGCGCGGCGGCGGCGAGGCGAAAAAGAGGGGGGAGAGAGCGGUGGCAAGGCACAAAGCGGUGGGAGGGCGUUGGAUUUUAUAAAGCGUGCUGGACGCCGCGCGCCAAAACUAGCGCACGCACGGCCGCUUUUUCCCGCGCGCGCGAUCCUUUCCCGACGUCUCUGCUAUCUCUACUCUCUUCUCUACUAGCGCGAUACAGGAGCGACGCACAAUUACAAGCUGAUAUUCUGUUGGACAAUGGAGGCUAUAACCAAUUACUUUUACGGGAACAAUAGCACCCAGGAAAUUUGAAGGGUAGGUAUGAACAAAAUUGGAACUGCACAUGUACUGCUAAGUGAUUCAAUACACACUUACCAAUCAAGGAGGAGAACGAUGGUCGCGGCGGCCUCUGUGAGUCAUGGUCGGCAACGGGAGUCAGUUCAUUGUCCACGACGGUGGUACUUCUGCGCUUGGCGUCGGCUUCCGGGAAGCAGAUCCGAGACCGUGGAAGACGAUGCCGGGGAAGAGGCUCUGUGUACGACGACGACGGUGGACCGGCUCCAGUGCGGCGUACGAGGUCGUCGAUGAGGCAGAUGCGCUGCGGUGGACGAGUGCGUCGAUGUAAAGGGGAGGAGCACGAAGGUUGCGGUGCCGUGGAGAAGUCUAUUUUGUGGUGGGGAUAGAAAAUGGGGAGUAUUCAGGUGUACUACUCUGGGUGCCGGGGUGGGGUUGGCUGGGUAGGGUGAACCUGAAGUUACGAAAACAGCCCCCUGCCAAGCGUCAUCCGUAGGCCUGUUCCGAAGGCUAUGAUGGUAACUUCCCACUGCUCGAAUCAGGGUCGCGGGAGAUUUUCCCGCCGACCUCAAAAUUUUGUGACACUGGACUCCCCGUGUGGCGUGUUGAGUGAUUCGGCUAAGCAACUAGCGAGUAGUAGUAGUAAACUCUGCAUAUUAGGUUUGGCCGAAGUCAAACUUCCUAAAGUUUGACCAAGUUUAUAGAAAAAUAUAAACAUUUACCAUAACAAAUAUGUAUGAUGUGAAAGUACAUUCAAUAAUGAAUCUAAUGGUAUUUAUUUGUUAUUGUAUAUGUUAAUAUUUUUUGUUAUAAGCUUUCUGAGAGUUUACAAAACUUGACUUUGACCAAUGCUAAUACGCGGACUUAAAUAAAAACGGAGGGAGUACACAUUUGUUUUCUUAGUUUGUAGUGAACUAAUCAUUUGUUGAAAUUGUGAAAUAAAUAUAUUAGGCUAUUGACUUCGAAUGUAAUGGUCUAUACAAUUCAAUAGCUACAAUCAUUGUCGAAUCCCAAGAUGUAUACAAGGUCUAUAGUACUUCACAACAUGCUCAAACUCACAUAAUCCCAGUCAAAUGAGAAUCUAAAUGCAAUUCAAAUGUUGGGGUGCAAAGAAGCACAAGCGAGAGUGGUCGCCGUAUAACCUUGGAUGGGGAUGAAUUGUGUGCUCGGGGGAGUGUGUGUGUGUGUGUUGUGCUGCGUGUGUCUCUCUCUGUGUGUGUGUCAGAUAUUGAGAGAAAACAAACCUAAGGAGAGAAAUGGGUAUUCAUGAAGAGAUUGUGCGGGCCUUGAGGUGGGCACGGGCCGGGUGAGGGUGUCAAAAUGUGCACGUUGAUGCAUGUGUUGCACGCGACCGUGCGAGGGACGGACGAAUCGAGAGAGAUGGUUGUUGUGUUACGGAUGCCCCUCUCUCUGUCUCUCUCUCCCUCUCUCUCUCUCUCUCUCUCUCACACACACACACACACAAGUAAACUAGAAGACCGUUCUCUCAUGUAUACACAACAUAUCGGCAUCUGUCUAUGUCUCACUCAUGCAUGAUCAUUUGCACAUUCACACCUCUCUAUGUCUGUAUCACACGCACACCGUCUCCACAUUGCCCUUCCGCCACAACACACAUAUGGACACAUACACACGUUCUCUCUCAGUCACACACACAAAAUCAGUAUUAAAAAAAACUAGGGCGCACCUAAAACGUCCAAAUCCAAAUAAACACGAACUGGAGCUAAAUUCAAAUAUAUGGAAAUAUUGCAGCGUCAAGAACUUUCACAGGAAAAAAAGUUGAGUAAUAUUUGAGUAUUGUUUUCACACACACAAAAAGGUUCGGUGGAUGUCCUUCGAGCGCGACACGGUGACGCACCAUUCGAUCGACCGCGCGGCCGCGGUUCACGCGCUUGCACAGGAUUCCGUAUCGUGGCUGUGGUACUAACUAAUAAAAGCGCUGCCUAAGUCUAAUGUUUACGUGUACUAGUACGGUAUUCUUUCAAGUUUGACCAACCUUAUAUAUAAAACUAAAGUAAGCUCCCACACGCACACUCAUCAAUAUGCCGCCGCCGCCAUUGCGCAUGCCGGCGCCCGCCUGCUCCGGCCAACAAUUUCUCGCCCAUCACCGUCGUGUCGCCGCCAUCCCUGUGCCAUGAAGCCGAAGGCUCGCCCGCUCACGUUGUCUGCAGUCCCUCCUCGCGAUGCCGCCGCGCUGCCAAGCACGCGAGCAGCUGGUGGAGCCGCGUCUAUGCACGCAGCGUACGAAGAGGAGGACGAGCGCGUGCUCCAGCACGCCGGCAAGGAGGAACUAGCGUGUCAUUGUCGUCUCCGCCCGCGCGGAGGAGGCGCGCAUGGUGGCUGUCACGGCGGAAGCCAGUCGCGCGCGCGUCGAGCCCGCAAACCGGGUGCGGACGCGGAAUCUACCUUCGAGACCUUGAAUGCCACGUGGAUCCUGCAACCGGAAGGAGCAAUUUGGGUCACUCGACUCAUGUGAGCCGUUUGAUGCAACAUGGAUGGCUAGAAGGGCUUCUUCUACCUCUUCUGCCGUCUUCUUCCUUCGCUCCGUCGAACUUCUUUCACAAAUCGACUGACCCAAAUUAUACUACUAGUACGAACGUAUUAAGUACAGUAGGAACACGAAGAUACGAGCAGUAGUACCAACUGCAAGAAGAACAGUAGUAAGACAUAGUACUAGUACUGCUGUACGUACUAAAGAGUUCAAAUAACGAGAAAGAACAUAAACAUAGUUCUGCUGGGGCCUCAGCACAACACACCCUUGAAAAUAAACUAAGCAACUGGUCCGCUUGACACUGCAGUAGAACCAACAUGAGCGACGGCACUGCCACCUACUCGGAGUCCGAGUCCAUGUCCUCGACUUUGUCCUCGUCCCUCUUCCUCUUCCUCUUCGCCGACGCUUCUUUGCUUGAACCGGACACUGGGCUCUGCUUCUUCAUCCAACCCUUGUAGAUAUUUAAACAAAGGUAGGCAUCCAUUGCCGCGUACAGGAUGUGAUCUUCAUCUAAUGUCUUCGACUCCCAUGCAUGAUGAAACUCGUGAUGAGGUUUCUUCAGUUUAGCGUACGAAGGAUCAAUCAUGGCUGCUGCCAGGGUCAGCAUUGAAGGUUGAGAGGAGGACACCAGGCUUGCCUUCUGGAGAUCGAAGGGCUGGCCUACAACGAGACCUAUCCGACGCAGGACAUCCCUGUCGUUCUUAAAGCCUACAGUAACGAAUUUCACUCUUUUGUCCUUGAGGAAGUUCUUAAAGUCCUGGCACUCAACGUCGGCAUGGCAUAUGUGGUAGACCAAGCAAACGUUAUGUACGCAAACCUGGAUCACGGCGGGCUUCUUCCUCUCUUCGUCCUUUAGAUCCUUCUCUCGUCCCAGGACUGUGGUGUACUCAACAUCUAGCCCAGCGACCCAGUCAUCCAUUGAACUGUUGAACAUGCGUAGGAAGCGAGCAAGCCAUGCUUUCACCGUCUCGGAUCCACGUGUGUAGAUGACGAUGAACUGAUCGCCGGUGAUGGCUCUAACCUGGUACUCAGCGGCAACCAUGGAGAUUUGGGAGGCCAUGGAUUUUGGAGGAGGGUUAGGAGAAGUUGAACUGUUGUACCCCGCAAAAAAACUGGGAGCGAACUAAUGUGAAAGGACGGGACGACUGGGAGCGAACUGUUGUAAGGUAGAAGACGGGGACGAGUAGGGCGUGCGAACGGCGUGGGGUUGCUGGCUUGCCCGGUGGAUAAACGGCUGCAAGCCCCCAAGAGUUCUCGAGAACUAUGCGGGACCCACUAGAUGUCAUGUCUACUAGACCCAUAUCGUAGGCCUGACGGUAUAGCUUCUGCCUGUUCGCACGCCAUGCCGGCGCGUGGAUGUAACUUCACUUAAUUCUGUCAAACGUCGCGCCUCCCACGACCUUCGCCUCCCUCGUGCGGUCGCGCCCUUUGAGACUUCGACCGGCUAUAAAUGAGCAAUUUUUUUGCCUUUUUUUAGACAAGCAAUUUUUUUGCCUACUCCGCAUGCAUGAUACUCCCUCUAAUCCUUUUUACUCCCGUCAACCGUUUGCAAAGUGUUUGACCAAAUUUAUACUUUUUUGAACACCACCUUAUAUUAAUUAACCAGCCACACCAGUACACUCAUUCGAUACAAUAUUCACCACACAGGGCGGUACGUUAUUUACAAGAAUACCAUCUAAUAUAUUGUCAAAGCUAUACUUAGCGAUUAAGUGUGCCACCUUAUUGGCCGAACGGCUAAUCUUUGACAAUUAAAGAUUGUUGAUCAACUUCGAGAUGCUCAACGCUUUCAUCUUCAGGUCACGCAUAGCAGACCUGUCAUAGUCCCCCGAUGCAAGAGACGCUACCACAAAAGCGCAAGCAGUCUCUAAAAUUACAGGAUUAUGAAGAGAAAUACCUAUGUAGAGACCGGCAAUGCAAGCCCUAAGCUCCGCUUCCUCCAUGCUUUGACAGGCAUCAAUGAAAUCCCACGACCAAAUUUAUACUAAAAAUAUCAAUACCUACAAUACUGAUUAUAAUGAGUAUAAGAACUACGUUUUAUAAUGAGUGUAAAAAUAUUGAUUUGACAUUGUGGAUGUUGACACAUUUUUCUAUAAGUCUGGUGAAAGUAGAGGUACAUUGACUUCAGACAAAACUUAAAUGCACA
rnacentral:lncRNA from 1 species